rnacentral:lncRNA from 1 species
CUCGGCCUCGUCCCCGACGACGGCGGCGACGCGGGCGCGGCCGACGUCGGGCUCGAAGAUGGCGAGGUUGACGUACGAGUUGGAGUAUGCGGAGUGGUAGAGGCCGCAGCGCGCGACGGCGUCGGGGGAAGCCCAGAGGCNNNNNNNNNNNNNNNNNNNNNNNNNNNNNNNNNNNNNNNNNNNNNNNNNNNNNNNNNNNNNNNNNNNNNNNNNNCGGCGGUGAGGGCGGGCAGGGCCGGGUCGCCGCACUGGUCCUCCUCGCCCCGCAGGUACGGGCGCGCCGCCGCCAGCGCGUCGGCGUAGGUGGUGCGCGUCGCCAUGGAUCCCGUCGGUCGUCGCCGGCGGUGGGGAGAGAUCGGGGGCGGGGCAGGCGGAGGNNNNNNNNNNNNNNNNNNNNNNNNNNNNNNNNNNNNNNNNNNNNNNNNNNNNNNNNNNNNNNNNNNNNNNNNNNNNNNNNNNNNNNNNNNNNNNNNNNNNNNNNNNNNNNNNNNNNNNNNNNNNNNNNNNNNNNNNNNNNNNNNNNNNNNNNNNNNNNNNNNNNNNNNNNNNNNNNNNNNNNNNNNNNNNNNNNNNNNNNNNNNNNNNNNNNNNNNNNNNNNNNNNNNNNNNNNNNNNNGGAUUGACAUCCUUUGCCAUAGAGGAGAGGUUGCCAAAUGCCAACAAUAGAGAAACGUGUUGGACCAAAGUGAGGUAAAAUGUUUGUAUUGUUCCAACUAGUUUUUGUUUUUGGGUAUGCAUUUCAAUUCGGUAAUUCCGCGGUGGUUGGAUGAUUAUAUGAACAAUGAUAUUAUUAACCCAUCAAAGUUUAAGUCUUGGUCUUUGCAUUAUUUUUAAAUUUAUAUCAGAAUUUUUGACAAUGCGUGUUUAAUGAAAGGAGACGUUUUNNNNNNNNNNNNNNNNNNNNNNNNNNNNNNNNNNNNNNNNNNNNNNNNNNNNNNNNNNNNNNNNNNNNNNNNNNNNNNNNNNNNNNNNNNNNNNNNNNNNGAUGAGUGAUCUACGUACCCUUGUAGAUCGUACAGCAGAAGCGUUAGGGAACGCGGUUGAUGUAGUGGAACGUCCUCACGUCCCUCGAUCCGCCCCGCGAACAAUCCCGCGAUCAGUCUCACGAUCUAGUACCGAACGGACGGCACCUCCGCGUUCAGCACACGUACAGCUCGACGAUGAUCUCGGCCUUCUUGAUCCAGCAAGAGAGAUGGAGAGGUAGAAGAGUUCUCCGGCAGCAUGACGGCGCUCCGGAGGUUGGUGAUGAUCUUGUCUCAGCAGGGCUCCGCCCGAGCUCCGCAGAAACGCGAUCUAGAGGAAAAACUAUGGAGAUAUGUGGUCGGGCAGCCGUGAGAAAGUUGUCUCAAAUCUGCCCUAAAAGCCCCAUAUAUAUAGGAGGAGGGAGGGGGACCUUGCCUUGGGGUCCAAGGGACUCCCAAGGGGUCGGCCGAGCCAAGGGGGGGAGGACUCCCCCCCCAAACCGAGUUGGACUUGGUUUGGUGGGAGGAGUCCCCCUCACUUCCCACUUCUUCCCUCUUUUUUUUUCUUUUCCUUUGAUUUUCUUAUCUUGGCGCAUAGGCUCCCUUGGGGCUGUCCCACCAGCCCACUAAGGGCUGGUGUGUCCCCCAAAAGCCUAUGGGCUUCCCCGGAGUGGGUUGCCCCCCUCCGGUGAACUCCCGGAACCCAUUCGUCAUUCCCGGUACAUUCCCGGUAACUCCGAAAACCUUCCGGUAAUCAAAUGAGGUCAUCCUAUAUAUCAAUCUUCGUUUCCGGACCAUUCCGGAAACCCUCGUGACGUCCGUGAUCUCAUCCGGGACUCCGAACAACAUUCGGUAACCAACCAUAUAACUCAAAUACGCAUAAAACAACGUCGAACCUUAAGUGUGCAGACCCUGCGGGUUCGAGAACUAUGUAGACAUGACCCGAGAGACUCCUCGGUCAAUAUCCAAUAGCGGGACCUGGAUGCCCAUAUUGGAUCCUACAUAUUCUACGAAGAUCUCAUCGUUUGAACCUCAGUGCCAAGGAUUCGUAUAAUCCCGUAUGUCAUUCCCUUUGUCCUUCGGUAUGUUACUUGCCCGAGAUUCGAUCGUCAGUAUCCGCAUACCUAUUUCAAUCUCGUUUACCGGCAAGUCUCUUUACUCGUUCCGUAAUACAAGAUCCCGCAACUUACACUAAGUUACAUUGCUUGCAAGGCUUGUGUGUGAUGUUGUAUUACCGAGUGGGCCCCGAGAUACCUCUCCGUCACACGGAGUGACAAAUCCCAGUCUUGAUCCAUACUAACUCAAACAACACCUUCGGAGAUACCUGUAGAGCAUCUUUAUAGUCACCUAGUUACGUUGCGACGUUUGAUACACACAAAGCAUUCCUCCGGUGUCAGUGAGUUAUAUGAUCUCAUGGUCAUAGAAAUAAAUACUUGACACGCAGAAAACAGUAGCAACAAAAUGACACGAUCAACAUGCUACGUCUAUUAGUUUGGGUCUAGUCCAUCACGUGAUUCUCCCAAUGACGUGAUCCAGUUAUCAAGCAACAACACCUUGUUCAUAAUCAUAAGACACUGACUAUCAUCGAUCAACUGGCUAGCCAACUAGAGGCAUGCUAGGGACGGUGUUUUGUCUAUGUAUCCACACAUGUAAAUGAGUCUUCAUUCAAUAUAAUUAUAGCAUGGAUAAUAAACUAUUAUCUUGAUACAGGAAUUAUAAUAAUAACUAUACAUUUAUUAUUGCCUCUAGGGCAUAAUUCNNNNNNNNNNNNNNNNNNNNNNNNNNNNNNNNNNNNNNNNNNNNNNNNNNNNNNNNNNNNNNNNNNNNNNNNNNNNNNNNNNNNNNNNNNNNNNNNNNNNCCUCUCGUAGAUGGACAUCACCAUGAUAGGUCUUCGUGCGCGUAGGAAAAUUUUUGUUUCCCAUGCGACGUUCCCCAACAAUGGACUCGUUUAAUUUUCUUUUCAAGUUGAUUCUCAACUUCUUCCUUAUAGAUUUUAAAGUAGUGUAGAGCCUCAUCUUUAGUAUUUAACAGAUACACAUUGCAAAAUCUAGUGGAAUCAUCUAUCAAUGUCAUGAAGUAUUUCUCUCCACCUUUAGUCAACACACCAUUCAUCUCACAAAGAUCAGAAUGUAUGAGUUCUAAUGGUGCCAAGUGUCUCUCCUCUUCAGCCUUGUGAGGCUUGCAAGGUUGCUUUGCUUGCACACACGAAUGGCACUUAGAACAGAAGCACUCGUGCCAUUCCCCAUCAAUACGGACUCGCGACCGGUGGCCUGAUAAGAAGAGAACAAUGAUAAGUCAGCACACACAUGAAUAUUUGCACCCGUGUCCACCCACCAAUCGGUGGACUGACAAACUGUAAAUACAGUAAGUAAAUUACCGUACCCAGAUGCACCACUUUCAUUGUUGCCCACAAUCAUAUUGGCAGACUUGGAGUCCUUUGUCGGCUUCUUGUACUUGUUUGGGCAUUUGUUCGCCCAAUGUUCCUCUGAACCACAAGUAUAGCAGCCAUCUCCCUUCUUAUUCUUCUUGAAGGGCUUCUUUCCCUUCUUCUUGAAGUCGGUAUUCUGUUGGACAGAAUUCUUUCCCUUGGGCUUGUGAGAAUUGAAGUUCCUCUGAUGUACCAUAUUGGCAGCAGAAGAGCUUUCCACCGCUUUUCCAUUGGAGUCCUUUGCUCUCGAGUUCUGCUCAACACUCAGAUGGCCGAUGAUGUCCUCUACUGAGAACUCACGCCUCUGAUGUUUCAGAGUAGUAGCAAAGUUCCUCCAGGAAUUAGGGAGCUUAGCAAUUAUACAGCCCGCGACAAACUUGCCCGGCAAAUUGCACUUAAGAACCUCAAGUUCCUUAGCUAUGCAUAUUAUCUCAUGAGCUUGUUCCAAUACAGAACGGUUGUCAACCAUCUUGUAAUCGUGGAACUGCUCCAUAACAUACAUCUCACUCCCAGCAUCGGUGGCCCCGAAUUUAGAUUCGAGCCCUCCCACAAGUCCUUGGCAACAUGCAUAUGUAAAUAUGCAUCAACCAGCUUAUCUCCGAUCACGCUAAUGACUGCUCCAAGGAAUAGGACGGUGGCCUCCUUAAACAUCUUCUCCUGUUCAGGAGUGAUAGUUUCCGUAGGAGUGACACCGGCUAUCCAGAACACGUUCAUAGCUGUGAGCCAUAAGGUGGUUAUCGUUUGCCAACACUUGAAAAAAAGUACCGGUAAACUUAUCCGGUUUCAGUGCAGCAGCAAAACCAUUACUCGAAAAAUUCCUACAGACAUUAGGUUUUUGGAUUGUUAAGGAAAUAGGCAAUUUUCCGAGUAGAUUAAUCCACGAAAUAAUUACUAACAUGGCAUUGACUAGGUUCAUGACAUACUGAUCACGGAGUAUACUAGCAAGUACUACGCAUAUAGCAGAAACAUCUACGCAUAUAGGCAAUACUACUAGUGCAGACAGAAACAGGAGAGAGACAAACACAUCAUACCCUCCGAUCGACCAGUUGGCCGUAGCAGCAGCGGCGGCGACGGAAGUAUCCUCUGCCGCCUUCUUCUCGGCUUCGGCCUUCUCGCGGACGAGACGGUCAGCUUCGCUUGGUGAAGACAUGGCGAUGACGAGGGCGACGCGGACGUAGACGAAGCAGACGGACGGAGGCGAGCAGUCGCGUGAUCGCUCCCCAAAAACCUAAUCGCCCCUCUCCCGUACACGAACCGGAGAGGCGAGGUUUCGGAGGCCUGCUCUCCCGUCGACCGUGUACGCGGUAAACGGGAUGGAGUCGUCGGCGGCAGCAGGAGUCAAGGAACGAACGCGUGAGGCAGAUGUGAUCUGAUUCUCGUGACGGCUAGGGUAGGCGAUGGCCUGCUUAUAAAGGCGGCUGGGUGGAGAGACGUGGGCCAAACCCACGUCCAAGUCGGUAACAGCCACGCCGUUACGUAUUCUACGUUCCUGACCGGCAAAAAUAAGCACGUAGAUAUGAGCUCGGCUCGGCUCAUUCCCGCAACCCGAGGCGAGGCGAGGCGAGCGGCGGAGGAGGAGUGCGCGAGGGCACCUUCUCUUCUCACUCUUCAAUAGCAUGUGGAAGAGAGACCCUUAUAAAAGGGUCCAACUCCUCCUCCACUAGCGGGGUGGGACUAAACUUUCCACCACCUUGUCAUGCCACCACCUACAUGGGCCAUUGGAGAUUUUUCUAAAAUUUGUUUUAUGGGCCUAAGGCCCAUCUCUAAUUUCAACACCCAACUCUCAAGCUCCCGAAACCUUGGGUAUUUGUGGCCGGUAUGAAUACCAAGGACACUAUGUUCGCCCAGUUUCCAGACAAUGUCCAUCAUGCUAAGCUCGCUCCAAGCUCAGGCCCCAUUGCACAGGUGAAGAUUACUGGUGUGGCUGCAACAGCUAAACAGGUGCAAGACCAGGUAGCACGUAUGUGUCCGGUCCCGUCUUAGGUCUAGGAGGCUGUCCCUAAAGGGGAGAAUGCUUUCACGAUCACUUUUCCUACAAUGAAGGCGCUAUCGAGAUUUGAUGGCAUUGAUUGGGGCAUCCCGGCACAGGACACAAGACUUGCUUUUAGUCAGUGGAAGCUAGAGGAGAUCACACCUAAGAUGGAGCUAUAUCAAACUUGGGUACACGUCACGGGGGUUCCACACGCUAUGAGACACUUUCUGGGCAUUUGGGCUAUAGGGUCUCUGAUCGGAUCGACGAUUGAUGUAGACCUUUUAGCCCUCCGGCAUAGAGGUGUGGUACCUAUCGUAGUUGGGAUGGCAGCUGAAGAUUGCUUCAAUAAGUUCAAUGAGGCAGGUCCGUACAUUUGAACGGACUGUAUUUGGAAGCUGAAAGGUUAUGCAUUUACUUUCCGUCCGGAGCCAGAAAAUUUUGUGCAGGAGUCCGAUUUCAUACCUAAGGUUUGGGAAUUCAUAGCCAAAGACGGAGUUGCGGACAGUUAUAUGCAAGAUAAUUCCAGGGAACGGCCCGGAUCCGAUGGUGCUACACCUCAAGAUGAUGGUAGGGUGUAACCCUUUGUAAGUCUUUAUAUGUAGUUUAGCAUUUUUGUAUGGAAAACGAUCUGUUUCAACCGGCUGAUUUUUCACUCCACCAACCGCCACGCUAGUUUGACACGUGUCUCCUGUGCAGCCUACCCACCACUUUCUCACCUCAUAACGUUAUCUUCACGCAAGACCUCAUCCACGGCCUCCUUCUUCCUGUGCAAAUCGUCAAAUCCUCUUGCCUGUUGUUCCUCACCGAACAAUGCUCCAGCCAUUGCUGCUACCUUCCCCAAUGACCGUGUUGCAAGCUCCGUUGGGUCGCCGCGCUUGGCCAUGACAAAAAUCUUGCGAUCGUGAACCUCUUCUCCGGCGUCGCGCGAGGUGCCUCUCCACGCAAAGGAGAUGACCACAUUCUACGCGUACAGGAAGGUUAUAUUCUCCGAAUCCCCCACCAUCCGAAGCAGUGUCGCCCUGUGCAGGAUUGCUUGUCCGGCCAAAAGAUGGACUGCCAAAAUAUUUAAUGGGCCACAGCUUAUGGACAUUGCAUUCUACAAUGGAAAACCAUAUGCCCUAACGGACGUGGAUGACCUGAUCAAAUUCAAAAUAGGUACAAACAAAGACGGUCGGCCGGUGGUAACUGUGGAGCUGCAUAUGCAAAUUGGUAGCCGACCUUUCAGGUGGGGAACUAACAUUGUUGAGCUGCAUGGCAAACUGGCUAUGGUGGUGAAACGACGUUUUGUAGGCAACACCUACCGCAAGCGCUUCUUCUUCCAUGUUUCUGUGCUUGUUGACAAGUCGACGAAAGAGAACACUCUCAAGUGGGAGUGGGAGGAGGUAACAACCUUGGGAGAUUGCGCCUUGUUUUUUGGGAGAAUGUCGAACAAGGCGUUGUGUGUGCCGGCGGCUGGGUGCGGCCGGGUGCAGACAAGUGCCAUCUACGCCGACGAUGUCACCUACUUGACGAGUUUGGACGGCCAUGGUGAUUGUGUAUAUCCUAUGCGAGACCAAAGCAGUGACAAGGCCACACACGGGAUCAAAUCAGUAGGACCUUAUACAUGUGGCAUGUGGGUUCUCCCUCCUGAUUUCUAGCUCACCAAGAGUGGUCUAGGGUAUCAUUUUUUUAUUUAUUCCUUAUUCACAAGGUAUUAAUUAAGGUAAGUUCAUACCAUAAAGAGUGUACAGAUAGAUGCAGUGUACAAUUUGACGUUUUAUCUUGAGGUAUAUAUAUAAAACACAGGCCAACUAUUUGCAAGGAUCGGUUUUGUUAAAACACAUUUAGAUGUGAAUAAGUAUUGCAUAUCUAAGUCCUAUGUCAUUGAACUUACGUAAAGAUUUGUAUCGAUAUUUUUUUUUGUUUUCUUUUUAGACUUGAUUUAGUCAUUUAGAUAGAUGUGCAAUAAUUAUGUCACAUCUUGAUGUAUCCUCGACAUACCCUUGCAGGAUAUUGUGUCCCUGAUAUGUUAAAAAUAUUCAAUUAUCCGUUCUGGGUUUGCUCCUGCUGCUUAAUUAAUGGCUCUAGCAUGUGCUUUGACAAUGUGUUCCGCUUGUCUAUCCAGAAUUCUUGUCCACCACCAGUCCUCCGGUGUAAAUAUGUAUCUUAGUUUUACGGUAAACUGAGACCCACGCCAAUGAUUUUAGAAUUGUUAUUUAUUUAUUUUUGAGACAUUCUCGUGAUGCUUUAUUAAAAUGUCAUAAUGUGUACAGGAACGAAAGGUAGUCCGCUAGGUUGCCUAACCAGACAUAGCAGCCGAGCCCUAGCUGUAAAGCGUUCUUUGCUAGAUUGUGAGCUUCGAAUUUUGAGCUUCUAAAUUCGUGAAAGAAAUUACAAGUAGUGAAACUGUAAGAAUGAUCUAUGAUUUCAUGUAAUAUGGCUCCAUAGCUGGGUGUCCUGUCCUUCUUGAUGUCUUUUUUUUUGCGAUAGUCCUUCUUAAUGUCUUCAAUAACAACUUUGCAGUCAGAUGCCACAUGAAUGGAUUGCACAUUUAAAUCUUCCGCCAACGCCAUAUCUUCUCUGACCUCCAUAGCCUCCAUAGUAGUUGGGUCCUGUAUACCUCGUACAACCAAGGCCGACGCCCCAAGAAACAUACCAUUCUUGUCUCUGCAAACCGCUGCAACCCAGCCAACUCUUGCUGAUCUCAAUAAUGUUGCAUCAGCACUCAUCUUUGCGCAGUCAUCCACAGGUGGGAGCCAACGCGUAGGCCUUUCCCCCCUAACGUGAUCUGCUGACCUCCUCGGUUUCAGGGUAUCUAACUGGCAUAGUUGAGCUUGGAUGAACAUAUGAGUCGUCAUGGGACUCUGAAAAAUAUCCUUGUGUAUUGCCUUUUGUCGUGCAAACCAAAUCGCCCAAAGGGUAAUAGCCAUCCUAAUGAAUGAUUCCCUCGACAGUGCUUCCAUCAUGGUGAAAAUCCAAUCCCGUGCAUUGUCAUCGUCGUGUUGGGUCAUGUGAUCAACCAGAUCGGCAUCUGAGAGAGCCCAUGUGCUUCUGGCCAUAGAGCAGUUGACAAGCGCAUGUCUCCACGAGUCACGAGCACCACAUAACCUGCGCACCGGCGACGUGUUGACAUGUUUCUGUGCUGAAACAGUUCCACCGUGGGGAGAGAGCUCCUGGCCAGUCGCGACAUAAAAACUUUUACCUUCGAUGGGACGUCUGUUUUCCAUAGUGCCAUCCAUGUCUUGCUACCCUGAUCGGUCCCUGAGGGCUCCUCGUUCCCUUUGAGCCAGUUCUCUCUGGUUAUCUUUGUUUGCAUGAUCAACCGAUAAGCAGAUUUGACAGAGAAAGUUCCAUGCUUUUCGCUGCUCCAAGCCCAGAAAUCACUCACAUUCCUCGUGCAUAAUGGUAUAGAUGAGAUAUGUUCAGCAUCAAUGGGUAGGAAAACCGAGCGCACCAGCUGCUCAUUCCAUGUUGCCGUUGCCGAGAUGAUCAAUUCUGACAACAGCCCCGGUCUGGGCAGCCAGUUGUGAUUCCAGAUGCUAGUAGUGCCACCGUUCCGAUUCGCCGAGUGGCCCCCUAUCGAAGCAUGUCCCGGCCAUCAAGCACUACCCUCCAUACUUGCGACGGUCGCCCUCCGAGUUCUACUUCAAGAAGUGUUGAGUCGGGGAAAUAUGAUGCUUUGAGAAUACUAGCACUGAGAGAGUCCUGCCGGGUUGGUCAACACCCUCCACGCCUGACGCGCCAGCAAUGCAAUAUUGAAGACCUCCAUAUCACGGAACCCGAGCCCUCCUAGGUUCUUCGGCCUUGUCAUGAUGUCCCAUGCUAUCCAACAAUGUUUUGACUUUCUUGCUACCCCACCAAAACUGACGGAUAAUCGAUGUGAUGUUUUUGCGGAGUCCUCUUUGUAGGCCCUGUUUGGAUACUCUAACCGGGUUAGAGGUUAGAGUUAGAUUCUAACCCUCAACUAACCCUAAACUAACUCUAACCCAAAANNNNNNNNNNNNNNNNNNNNNNNNNNNNNNNNNNNNNNNNNNNNNNNNNNNNNNNNNNNNNNNNNNNNNNNNNNNNNNNNNNNNNNNNNNNNNNNNNNNNNNNNNNNNNNNNNNNNNNNNNUUUUCUUUUUUUUUUUGACCCCACCUAACUCUAACCCAGAAAAGCACCUCUUGGAUUGGUUAGAGUUUUUGGGUGGGUUAGAUGCAUCUAACCUAAUCUAACCCUAUCUGUUUGGAUUUUUGAGGGUUAGAUAGCUCAACUCUAACCCAAUCUAACUCUAACUCUGGUAUCCAAACAGGGCCGUAGCCUGAAGCAUGCCAUGGAGUACACUGGUAAGGCCUGCGCAACCGCUAAUCAAUACUUCCUUACCUGCAGUAGUGAAUAAGAGCUUCUCCAUCCAUGCCGUCACCUUCUCCCAUACUCAAUCUCUCAGGUAUUUGAAAGUGUCCGAUUUGGAAUGCCCCACAUCCGUUGGCUUGUUCACAAAUUAACACGAGUUCAGGCAUCAUUAAUUUGAUUUGUGCACAAAUUAACCACCCACCAGUAGAUGGGAAAGUACGUAUGUAGACAUGUGAUUAAUUAGUUCCACUGUCGAGUUAAUCAUCAGGGACAUGCACGCACGCUCUGUCGAACCGAAAUGCAACAGGGCCGUUGUUGGAGAGGGCUUCGAACCUGAGCACAACAAAAGUCUUGUUGCAAAGGGAUGCGCAUAUACCUGCCAUCUCUUGCCCGGCACGAAAAUCUAGGGACUAGACCCGCGGGGCUUGCCCAUGGGCCGGGUUUGGGCAUGAGUUUUGAGCCCGCUAGUAGGGUCAGUCUGGGCUUGGGCUUGGUAUAUUAAGAUUUUAAGGAAGAGGACUGAUCCGUGGCCCAAGGUCCGAUGGGCUUUUUAACAUAUAGGUUUGAUUUGGGCUUGAAAAGUAGGCCCGAUAAUAGGGCGGGCCGGGCCUCGGUUUUCUGCUAUGGGCCUUUUUAGGCCUGGCUCAGGCCCGGCCCAUGGCGAGGUAUAGAUGAGCGGAAUAGGAGAUCGGAUGACUUUUAUGCUCUCCAUCCAGUGGUUGUUGAGGCAGUCGAUGUGAUCAUCAUUGAUCCGACGCAUAUCGUUCAUAAAAAACAAGAGCACCGAAAAUGGCACACACAGACUAGACCACGUCAUGCAAUGCAAACCCAGCUCGUACACAAGCAAUGCAAUUACACCUAUGGAAACAAAAUAGGGCAGUGCUUUGCGCCGGCGCGCCGGCCGAAUCGUUCGGCCGCCGCGCGUGGACCGCCCGAUCCGUCAGCUCUACGCGGGUCACGCCAUUAGAUCUUCAUGCAAUAUUUUUUUUCUUGAUGUAACAAAUUUUGUCUAUGAUGCAACAAUUUUCGUUAACGGUUGCAAAAAAAUAUAGUUGUAGCAAAAAAAAUAUCUACCUGAUCGUAGCAAAAAAACGAAGCUAAUGAUGCGUGGUAGCAAAACAAAAAAAGGGUUGUAGCAAAACAAUCCGAAGAACUCGGGUUGCAACUCUGACGAACGUGUAUGCAACAUUUUUAGUGAACGGUUGCAAACAAAAAUUAACACGGUUGUAGCAAAAGUAAAAAACACCGGUUGUAAGGAAAAAUUCGACGAACUGGAGUUGUAACCAAAGUAUAUGCAACUCUUUUACUCGACAAAUGUAACAAAUAAAAAACGCUUGUAGCAAAUAUGAACACUGAUUGCAACAAAUUUAGACGAGAAAAAGUUACAUGCUUAAUCAGCUGUGUGCGCGGGUCGCGCGGCCGGCCUAACGGUUCGGCCGACCCACUGGCACAAACGUUUACUAACAAAAUAACCCGACCAUAAUAGCAAUCUACUUUAUCAUCUAUAAGGCAAGAUGGUGUUUUUUUAAGAAAACUUUCAAUCUAUUCAUUACCUAUCAAGAUAUUACCUAUCAAGAUAGUGCAAAGAACACCAAAGAAAAAAGAUUACAUCCAGAUUGGGCUGUAAGUGGAAGUCAUGGACACCCCACGACGAGGGACGGCUCUGAGCAUGUGCGGCAUGUGCGGCCGCACAAGGCCCCUCGUUGCUUAGGGCGCCAUCUAGAUGAGUAUACGUAUAUUAAUUAGCCUAAAAAAUAAUUUAAUCAAAUAAAUUAUUUCAAAUAAUAGUAGCAUGAGCCUUUGAAGUAAACGAUACUUACAGAUCAUUAAAAGGAAUCAACCUUAUGAACUUGUAUAUAUUUAUUUGUACAUAUGAGAGCCAAUUUUAUCUUUUAAACCGAGGCCCUAAAAUAUCAGGACCGGUCCUGCCCACGACGGGCUUGCGCGGCUUUCAUUAUGCCCUAGGAUACCCCGUGUGCAUGGGACCAUUGUUACCAUGUCCGCCCAAAUCCCCUUGUCCAGACGUCAGCUUAAUUCCUACCCGACAUGUUGAAACACACAGUGAACAAACAUGUUUUAUACACUACAGGACAUCAUACGUAUAUAAUAUGAGACGUAUACAAUGUAAGAUACGUCGGCGGCCUAUAGUGUACUCCAUCCGUUCCAAAAUAUAAGACAUUUUAGGGAUUUCACUAGGAGACUACAUACGGAACAAAAUAAGUGAAUCUAUACUCUAAAAUAUGUCUAUGUACAUCCGAAUGUAGUUUAUACUACAAUCUCUAAAAGGUCUUAUAUUUAGGAACGGAGGGAGUACAAUACAAGGUGGAUAUACAUUUUUUUUCUUUUAUACGAUUUUAUGAAGGGGGUGUCUACCGAAGCAAAAGUGUAGAAAAAAGAGUAGCUCAAAGGUCGUCGCAAGUUGAGGUCAAUGAUGGAGCUUGUUAACUUAGGUCUACAUAUAUUUUCCAUUCCAGAGAUCGAGAGAACAAAAAAACAAGAGAGAGUGCACAUACUAGACACGAGACGGACGUACGUAUGCGAGCGCGCGGAUUUCUUGAUCUGCUUAGAGACACGCCAACACCUCGAAGUCUCGUACGGUUUCAGAUCGAAUUCCUCUGCAAACAACAUCAAUCACGUUAACCUACGGAGUACUAUAUAUAGGUAACCAACAAAGGUGGCCGAACUACGCCUGCUCCUCUCGAUCGGUAACCCUUUUUCCUCCGGCGGUCAUGGCUUAUCCGUGCGAGCAAGAGGACGUGAUUCCAAUGCCAUGCGCAGGUGGUGCAGCGAUCCCUCACGAUAUCCUGCUGGAUAUCUUCAUGCGCUUGCCGGCGAGGUCCAUCGGCAGGUGCCGCUGCCUCUCACGCGCCUGGGCCGCCGCGCUCGCCCCCUCGGACGACUUCACCGAUCGCCACUUUCGCGCCGCCAACCGCCGCCCUAGCCUCUUCGUCCUCCCGGUCCCCUCCGCGGGCGUCACCGAAGUGCACGCCUGGUCGCCCGACCAGCCCCGCGGCACAACUCUCAUGGCCUUCCCGCGCCGCCCCAUGCGCAACACCGGCACCCGUCCCUGCCGGGGCCUUGUGGUCAUGGAGGAGGAAGAUCCGCCCGCCAGGGCCGGCGACGGCGCCGUCUACUACGUCUGCAACCCGUCCACCGGCCAGAUGACGGCGCUCCCGGAGGGCCCGCCGUUGCCGCCGCAGCCCAGCGGGUACAACCUCGGGAUCGGCUACGACGAGGUGAGCGGCCGGUUCAAGGUGGUCCGCGUCUUCCACGACAACGAGUAUCUCUAUGCGGAUUGCGACGUCUACGUGGUCGACGAUGCCUUCUGCUGGCGACCGGCGGCCGGAGACGCCGAGCUGCCGGAGGAGGCUGGGUACAUAAGUUCGUACGAGGCGAGCGUGUGCGCGCAGGGUCACCUUUAUUGGAUGUCUGAGGCGGAGGGGCCGUUCAAGGAGAAGCAUGUCAUCUCCUUCUCCCUCUCCGAUGAGAAAUUUGCGGUGAUCAACGCGCCCCACUAUAGAGAUUACAGCCUCACGGAGCUCGAGGGACGUGCAUGCCUCUUCUCCUCCGUCUACCAGAUGUGCUACAACAUCUGGCUACUACGCGACGACGACGCAUGGGACCUGCGCUUCCGCAUCGACCUGGCCACGGCGGCGCCAGAGGUGAGGCGGUUCAUGGCGUGCCAUGUCAGGCCGCUCGCAUUCAUCGAUGGUGGUCACCGCAUAAUAUUCAGGCCGAGUAUCCAGUCCGCAAACGACUCCAAGCCCGUCCACCAGCUCUGCGCUUACAACCCUACCACCGGCGCCAUUGAAGAGCUCCUCGCCGACGGGUGCCUGAUCGCCCAGCCAAGCGAGAACGGGCAUGCAACCACGAAAGCCCUGGUGUACGAGGAGAGCCUGGUCUCCACGGGGCGGCCACACGAGGAUAUCCUCUUCUCGUCGGCAUCAACGCGCGCCCUGUGCUUAGCCUUACAACGUCUGCCCGCGGCCAUCCUUGCGAAGCUCAAGCUCGUCUGUCGGACAUGGCGCGCCAUGAUCGAGUCUAACCGCUUCGUCAAGCUGCACAACCACUAUGCCAGGACGAGAAGGAGCUCUCCCCUACGCGUCUUCUUCCCAGACGCUACAACAGAGGACAGGAGGAUGGAGUCUUUGUGGCACGCGUCGCUCAAGCUGCUAGAGCGCAGGGUAGUGAGCUGCAAGCCCUGUCAUGGCCUACUCCUCGCCACAUCGUCCGAAAACAACAAAGAUGUUCUUCGCGUGCUUAGCCCAGUGAUUGACGAAGAGAUAACCUUGCACUUCCCUUCCGGCAGUACGACCGGCAUGGGGUACGACGAGGUGACGGAGGAGCAUGUUCUGGUCACUCUGGCCAAUGCUGGUCAUGGAUCUAGCGCGGCAAUGGAAUGCCACCUCUGGCGGCUCAAGGAAGACAUGAGUAGAAUAGUGCGAUCACCAUUUCCGAUCCAUGUGCGGCUCGACUUGCCGCCGAUCUACGUCGACGGCAAGAUGUACUGGAUGGGCGAUCCGCCACCUGAUCAAGACAGCCAGAGCAGUCACAGUUGCCACGGCAUGAUCAUGGCCCUCGACAUCCACACCGAGUCUUUCGAGGUGUUGCCGGUGCCACACGCCGACGACGGCUGCAGGAUGCUCGUGGUGGAGCUUGCCGGGCGGCUCUGCGUGGCCCACCCGUGUGCUCACACGGAGACCAUGACCAUAUGGAGCAAGAACAACAAGCCGGAGCUGGUUGACAACAAAUGCAAUGACGAGGGAUGCGAGCAAGAAUGGACGAGGGAGCAUGUGAUAGAGCUCUGGCGUUGGCCGGGGUUUUCCCCGAAGACAGCGGCAGGACUGAUUGUUCCAGUAGAGGUCGACGCCAUGGGGGGUGGGCAGAUCUUGCUGGACACAGGGAGCGAGGUGGGGCUGUAUGAUCCGAGCGAGCAAACCAUGCACACGGUGUACUCACUCAACUGGCCGCACGGUGAGCAUACCGACAAGUUCGUCGCGACGGCGCUGUGGGAGGACAGCAUGGUGCCUCCUCCACCUAUGCGAUGCGAACCUGAGCGGUGGUACAGAGAUGUAUAGAUUGUAAGGAAGCUAGCAAAGGGCCUUGGUUAGUUGGGAGCAUUUAGUAUUUCUUCUGAAUUUUGAAAACAAAUGUGAAGUUUUGAUCCUUUCUUGUAUUUUGAUAUAGUUUGUGGACCGUCCUUAAUGAUUUUGAUGCGCAUUUAUCUUGUCUCUGAUGUAUUAUUGAAGUGUCUUGCCCCUUUUUUUGGCGGGCAUUACUUGCAAAGUUAAGCUUUGAGAGUAAGGCAUAUAAUAGUGAUGUUGUACAACACCAAAGCAGUCUAGGUUGAAAGAGGUAUCAUGAUAUAUACAAGACGGGUUGCAAUUUCCAACUAAACUCUGGAGAUAAGUUGGCACAAACACCUGAAUUUUUUCUGAGGACUUGGGAGCCUCUCGAUCCACUUUUUCCGGCGUCCAUUCCCGUGCGCCCAUCAAGGACAUCCAUAGCUGAAGAUGCCUAUGUCGAAUAGGGUGAUGGAAUGAGCUUAAGAUAAUGUUACCCCUCAUGAUGGGUAAAAAACAUCCAUAGCCAUCUUCUCCAAUCAUCGUACGCACCAUCUUGAACAGCGGUUGACAUAGCGUUUGAUGUAGAAUAAACCACAUAUGAAGCAAGUGGGUACAACGGAGAAUAACCUAUAAAGGAGAUAUUUUUUGAUAUUAAAGACUAGAUCAUUUCGACAUAGCCAGAGCGACCAUAAAAUGGCAUACACUCCCACCCUUAUUGGUGUUUUAAACCUAUUUGGAACACCAUCGAUCCAGUGACUAAACAUAUUGGCAACUCUUGUUGGCAGAGACAAAUUAGAUGCUAUUUGGAUGACUGACUAUAUAGAACUGCAAACUAACACUGAAAAAAGAGGUGUUUGAAAGUGUCAACAUGAGUACAAAAGCUACUCUUAUUGUUUCCUUGCCAGUUGCAACGGACAAGAUUGUUUUUGGUUAGCGCAAAUUUCCUGUGAAGAUACUACAUGAAUAUUUUAACUUUCCACAGAAUCUUCGACUCCCAAAUUUCUUGUUGUUAGUCACUGAAACCUCACAAUGCGUGAGUGCAUUGCAGGGCGAGUUAACGGAGAAAGGCCUGGAUGUCAUGAGAAACACAUCUCAUUCUUGUAUCAGUUAAUCAACUCUGAUCGGGAUAGAAGAUUUUACCAUGACUUGGGAACGGGGCCAAUCAAAUCCCGCUUGAAUGAAUAUCCAGCCAGUGGGAAUGAACUGAGCACCUGCGUUUUAUUGCGAACAUUGCGAUACAAAGCUAGAUAUUAUUCCCGGAGGGUGGCACUGUCUAGCCAUUUAAAACAUGUGAUUAAUAAAGUUAUUAAAUAUCUAUACUUACUUUAAAUCAUAUAAAUUUUACAUGUUAGGACAUCUAAAUAGAUAUAUUUAAAUGCCCAAUUUUAAAUAUUAAAGAAACAUAUUAACUACAUGUAAGUAACCUUAUUUUCAGUUUCAAUAUAGUUCUGAAACUCAAGAUAUUUAAGACGCGAAGAAGGAUCAGUAUACUUGCAUUAUAAUUCUACAAAAAAUUGAAACAUGGAUCGCUAUAUUUUGAGUUAAAGUAAGUGAGAUAUAAUUUCAGUUUUGCUAAAGCACAUCUAUAUAUGCUCUAAGUAUUGUACAUCUAAGUUAUAUGUCAUUGAUUUUACGCUAAGAUUCGUACAAUCGUUUUCUUUUAUCUUAACUUUUUUUCUUCUUAGUUUGAUUGAGUCACUUAGAUGUGCAAUAAAUUGAGCACACCUAGAUGUGCCCUAGACAAAAACAUAUAAUUUUGUAGGAUUUAUGUGAAUUCGUGUCAUUAUGUUCUAAUAUUUCUUGUGGCAUGAUAUCUACUAUUUUCUUAUUUUCUUUUUUGAAGGAACAGUGGAGGACAAUAUAUUUUCUGUUUUUAGUAUGUCGCAGACUCGCAGUAGAGUUGCAUAUAAUUACAAGGGGAAUACAAAUGAUUCUUUUGUCUUUGUGGGGAACAAAGAAACAUCGACUUGUGUGUAAUUUGUCCUGCUAGUGCUUGUGUCGGAAACUUUUUCAUUAUUCGCCGAGUUAGUUUCCUGGUUGGUUGCUUUUGGUGUGUGCUGGUAUGUUACUUCCGCUGUAAAACCUGUUGGGUUCGUUGCUUCAAUAAAAUGGAGCAGGGGGGAAACCCCUUUUAUUCAAAAAAAAAAAAAAGAAACAUCGACUUGGCCUUAGCGACCACGCGAUCCCAUCUGCAUGGGCAUGGGCUCCAGCAAGCGCCACCGCGAUCCCAUCGGCAUGGCCUCCAGCAAGAUACUAUCAAUUUGGUGCCAUUGCCUCCACGUAGUGACAACAAUGGUCAGCAUCGGUGCAAAUGCAUCUGUGGGUAUCCCAACCAUGAGAGGCACAUUGCCGCAAGCACCCAUUAACUGAGCAGGCUUUUUUCAUCUUUACACACCCAAGAAUAGGUCCAAGGUCCAUUGUACCUGCAGAUUAGACACAACAUCCAGACGAAUUUAAAACUAAUGUGAUGUUUGAUUUAAACAAAAUAGAAGAGGCGCACAAACAAAAGAAACUAAUGAAUAUGUAGGAGAAAAUAUUUAUCUAUGCUCCAACAUACCUGCUGCAUGGCAGGACAAGGAAGUGGUGGACAUGACAAUAAGAGCUAGCAAGCAAAAUGCCCUUGUGUUCUUCAUCAGCCCCAUCACUAGUAGCUGGCUAUUAUUUUGCUCUGGCUAUUUUUGCAGCUAUGCCCAGUUUGCUAAUAGUUAUACAUACAUGAGAAAUUAAGUGUAUGCACAAUUUAAUUGGGAACUGAUAAAUACAUACACAAGUAUAUAGUUUGGAUAACUUGUUAUUAAUUGGUUAUUAAUGAUUGAUAUACCAGAAGUAAUUAGUUUGCCAAAUUAAGACACAUAUCGGAGCUAAAUCAAGCUACAUUUUAAUGUUUUGUAAACUGCCAUCCAGCUUUUUUUCCUAAAUUGCUGUCCAUGUUUUUGACUAUGAUUGAUUACACAUAACGUCCAAAAUAUAUAUAUUACCUGAUAUGUUUUGAUUGUAACACACAACAAAGCUGUCUAUACCGAACUGGAAGAGCCAAACUAGAUAGCAUGAUCAUCGAACCGAGAUGUAUAAGGUGUAUAUAGCAAAUAGAAAAAAACAUUUGUCAACUUGGCAUGUAGCUCAAUGUUUUUUUUCGUGUAUAGCCAUUGUCGGUACAAACUCAGAUCAGAGUCGAUAACGACAUGCUUGUGUUCCAAUCAAGACCAAUGUUACUAUAUAUAUGACUUGUAUCUGUAUUCAUGUUUAAAUUACACUAUAUGUGGGAUAGAGUAUACGUGUUAAUAAACCGUACAAGUAUAAAUGGAAUCCCAAAACUGGUUAGCAUUGUUUUUAAUUGCCAACUUAAAUGAAGCAACACAUUGUCAAAACUAGUAACUAGAGACAUUAAAAGAUAGGUACACCCAAAAUUAUUAAUUGUAAUUUUAGUAUGUUACAACACACCAUCACAAUCAUUAUAGAUUGACAUCAAUCAUUCUAACAAGGCAAAUACAUACCUCAUAAUAAACCAUGACUUUUAUACUGUAUAUAUUUCCACAAUCUAUACGAUCCAAUUUAUAGUAAAGGAUAACUUUAGUACCUUAUAUACACUGGGAAUAAAAUAAAAGAUGCUCAACUGGAAAACAAUAAAUAAUGGUGCUAGGUUCUACUCUUGAUAGGCUACUAGAAAUCCAAAGGAAGAACCCACAUGCCACCUGGAGCGGCUAUAUAAGAUCCUGCUGAUUUGAUNNNNNNNNNNNNNNNNNNNNNNNNNNNNNNNNNNNNNNNNNNNNNNNNNNNNNNNNNNNNNNNNNNNNNNNNNNNNNNNNNNNNNNNNNNNNNNNNNNNNNNNNNNNNNNNNNNNNNNNNNNNNNAUCCUGCUGAUUUGAUUAUCCACAUGGCAUCGCAACUGCUUUCGUCUUGCCUAUGAGAUACACGGUCACCAUGGACGUUCAAACUCGUGAAGUACACCGGAUCAUCAGUGUAGACGCAGCUCAUAUGCACCCUUCCACACCCAGCCGUGGGCACGUACAUCACCCUGGACCAUGUUUUUCCUAAAAACAAGCCAUACACACCCAUCUCUACCAUGAUUCAGAUACCUUAAAAAAGGGCUCUUGGAUGUGAGGUGAUGGCGAGUUUCUUGCCACCAUCACAAAUUUUCCAUGUUGCUCAAUGCUAUCGUUUGGGUAUAUGGUAUAGUGGAUACACACUUUUGUAUCAACAUCCGGUGGGGUUGGCCAGUAACCACCGACCGCAGUCUUGGUUCACCUCUAGAUCAUGUGCUCGAGGUGGGUGAUGCCAUACAACUGUCCAUUGCAGAAUAAGGUGUCGACAAGGGGUCACUCCAUCAACUUCUGUUACCACCCGCCCGUUGUGGAGUAUAGGGGGGGGGGGGGGGNNNNNNNNNNNNNNNNNNNNNNNNNNNNNNNNNNNNNNNNNNNNNNNNNNNNNNNNNNNNNNNNNNNNNNNNNNNNNNGGGGGGGGGGGGGGGUGGGGGGGGGGGGGGNNNNNNNNNNNNNGGGGGGGGGGGGGGGACAACCUUUGGAUUUAUGUCAUGAGAAAAGGUUCAUCAUCGCAAGCUGAAAGGUUCAUGAGCCACGAACAGCUUGCUGAUGGAUGCAUCACUCCGCAGGGGGAGGUGAAAGAAUUGGUCGUCCUUACGACAGUACGUGGUGUUCUUCUUGCCGUUCUUGUUGCCGUUGUGGCGUAACGGGGGAAGUCAAGCCAUAGUACCAUGGUAGAGCGGAUGUCACUGUGUGUCAUGAUGCAAUUGCAGGGAUUUUUGUCCAAAAGGACCCCCUGUCGAGUGAGAUUGUCAAAAAAGACCACCUGCGAGUGCAAACGUCAAAAAAGACCCCCACCCCGGACGGCGGCAGGCGUGCCAGGCGGCACGUGGCACCUGCCGCCACCGCAGGAGGCGGCCGUGGGGCCAGCCGCCACCGCCCCUGGCGGCCAGCGCGGGAUCCGUUCCCGAUUCCUCCUGUCCGUAACGGACAAGGCCGGGUGGGCCCUGCCGCCUCGGGAGCAGGCGGCCAGGUGCACUUUUUCCGCGCACCGGCACUGUUGCUGAUUGAUUGCGCUGAUUCCGAGGCUCUUUCCCGCUCGAUUUUUUUCCGCGCGGCCGGCCAGAACUGUGGGAUUUUUUCCCGCUCUCCACCGACGAAUUUUUCCCGCGCGGCCAGAUCUCUUUCCUUAUACAUGCAUGUAAAGGUGGAGUAUAAUGUCCCAAAAACACAUGAAUCUGAACUCUAAAACGGUUACUUCAAGCCAUAGUUUGAUGUAUGGCGCCCUGAAGCUGUUGUUGUUAAUUUUUCUCAAGAAGCUUAAGAUGUUGAUGCACAAGGUAAACUAAAUAGGAAUGAGUUGUCACACAAGAAAUAGUAAUCAAGAUCAGAGAUGGAUCGAUUCAUCUAUAUGACAAGGUGAUCGUUACAACUCUGUUGAAUGUUCACCUAUUGUGCAAGUUGCACGGAUGGCUAAGUGCAUGGGAGGCAUAUACUACGGAUAUUUUGUUGGGCCGUGGUUAUCCCCCAUCCCUCGAACCAAACCAAGAUAUCCACGCUGGUGAAGGCGGGCGGAUUUUUCCGUGGUUUCACGGGGCUCUCAUCUUCGGGUCAGCAUUGUUCACCGCGGCGAUUUCAGAGGGACUCUUUGUGUCCUGGUCGACACUGUUCGUUACGGUGGUUUCGUGGGGCUUUUAUCUCUAGGUCGACGAGCAGUGCAAUAGUUUCCCGCCUAAUUUUCCCGCCAAAUUUUCCCGCUGCAGUUUCUCGUUUUCGCGCCCUUUUUUCCCGCGUAGACAUCCGGCUGAGCCUAUAAAAGGAGGCACGGAGUGAAACUCUCUUCACCAUCAGACAGACUUCAAAGCACCUGCACCUCCAUAGUCAGUAUGAGUUUGCCUUGUUCGGAUCAGAGCAUUAGGCCUAGGAAAAUGCAGAGUGCAAGCUUGCCUCGGGGGGUGGAAGCAGUUCGAUGUUGGUGCGGAGAUGUCUGCAAGGUGAAGGAGGUUACGGAUUUUUCAGAUUGGUUGGGCAUGAAGUUUUUCAUGUGCGCCAAUUAUGAAUCUGAUCCACCCGAAUCUAUUUCUGCGUACGUCAGGCCUCCGGUAUGCUCAAGUCAUCCAGAUUAUUGUUAUUUGACUUUAUUGUUUACUUGAAUCUGAUCCAUCCUUUAGUCUCCUCCUCCUCUAUGCAUGUACUAUCGUUGGAUUGACACGGAAAUGCCGGACUGGGCGGUGACCGAGAUUCGUGAAAGAGGUCGUCGUGCAUGGGCUAGCUUGGACUUGGAAGAGCGUCGUGAGAAGGCUGAAGCAGAGGAGAAAGCAGAGCAGAAGAAAGAGUGGGAAGAUUACUGUGUGGAGCAGAGGGCUUUUCUUGAUGAGAUGAUAAGGAAAAAUCAAGAAGAGAAACUUCGGCUGGAGGAGGUUUACAGACAGCGGGAACAGGCCCGUGAAGCUGAGAGGGAGAGAAAGAGAGAAAGGGCUCGUGCCGCCAAGGCAGCAGAAGAAGCUGGUGAUGGAAAAGGAAAAUAUCCACGUUGGACUCAGUAGAUUUAUUUUAUUGUAUGUUAAGUUGUCUUAGUUGUAUCUUAAUUUCUGCAAGAUGUAUCUUAAUUUCGGCAAAUUGUAUCUUAGUUUCCGCAAUGGGUAUCUUAAUUUCAGCUACGUGUAUGUUCAUUUUAUCCCGCCAUUUAUUUCCCGCCUCGCUUUCCCGCCAUUUUAUCCCGCGUAUAGCUUUGCCGCCAGUUUGUUCCCGCCCUUGCUUUCCCGCCCUCGCUUUCCCGCCUCGUUUUCCCGCCAUUAGUUAUUCGUCUCGCUCUGCUGCACCUAUAAAACCCCCUCCAGACCAAGGUGGGUAAGGAGUGUGCUAAAAAUGUCUCAUUAUCCUUUCGAUCGUAGUUUUCAUAGUGGUAUGUCCGAGUGUCUUCUGCGCUUAGCUAGCAAUUUGAAGAUAGAUAAUAGAAUAGUUUUAUGGGACGAACUCAUCAGUAGUGACACGCUACUGAAUGAGGUUGCCCACGCAUUAGCUAGGAAGGGGUGGCCUGCAAGGACAUAUGAGGAGAUUCGGAAAGAACUUCUGCGGUUGAAUGAAAGAUGGAAGAAGAAAGGCCAACACAUACGCGGUGGAGGUGGAGUAAAACAUCCCUUCUUAUGGAUUGACGAUAGUGAGGACGAAGACGAUAUCUUCAUGCCGAGUAUCAAGAGCGCGUCAUCGACGAAGGCCAAGAGCGCAUCAUCAUCGAAGGCCAAGAGUAGCGCUUCGUCAAAGGGCGAGAGCUCUGCAUCGUCGAAGGAUGACGACGACUUUAUGUAGUUUUUUUAUGAACUCUACAUCUUAAUGUAUCUUAUUUUAUGUAUGUUAUUUUAUGUAUGUUAUUUUAUGAAUCUUAUUUUAUGUAUCUUAUUUUAUGGAAGCAACUUCAAAUAUACCGCGAACUUUUAUUUCAUGAAACUACAUAGAUGUCUUGUACGUACAUCUGAAAGUUUGAAACUGACAUAGAGAGAUGCAAUUGUUCGCACACAUGCAUAGACGAAUCACCCUAUGCGACGACGACCAGCUGGCCUUGCCCGACGACCGGAGGGUGACAAUCGAUCAAGGGGUCUGUGUUCACGAAGACCACGACCGUACUGUCCCUCGUGUUCCUGUGUCUGCGACUCAUGCAUAGGUGGUGGAGUCUGAAAUCCAUAUUGAGAUGAUGAUUCUAAAUUGUAGGUGAAUGGUUGUGACUCAGAAUUGAUGUAAGAUGGACCAAUAACGUCCUGCCCGAAAAAAUCAUUUAUCAUUCCUGGGAGCGUGCAUUGAGUAUCAUGGGUUUCUGUGAGUAUUUCUUUCUGUACGCCACGCUGGGUAUGUUCAUCUCCCCAUGAUGGAUCAUUAAUUUCCUGGUCCACGAAAAAAUGUUUUUAAAAUGAAUUCUGUGUAACAAAAAGAUGUGUAAAUAGAAGUUAUGUAAUUGCUUAUUAUAAUUGUACAUACCUGACCGCUGUUGUAGCUUUGUGCUCCCUCGCUUGUCUCAGCCCAACGAUUCUCCUCGGGCAUCCUAAUCCCUCGUGUGGGCAGAUAUGGCUGAGAUCCUUGAAUGUGUGCGCCAUAUGAUGUAUAUGCAUCCUGCUCCACGAAAUGAGUCUGUUCGGGUGUCGAUCCUACAUCUGGAGCAUUUACCUGUGAUGUCUGCCCAUGUAUUGGUAGAGACGAGUCAUGUCGUGGAAGUGUCGGCAUAGUAUUACGACCCUCUGCCCACCGCAUGGACGACGACGGCGCCCCACUCGGUCUAGCUGACCUCGGUUCCGGAAUGUUGUACGCUGCAGUGACAACGUCGUUCUCUGUACCGCAUCUCGUAAUCUUUGUGCUCACGAAUUCGCUAAUUUUUUUAAACCACGACCUGCAUUUAGGAUCAAUUCCCUCGGCUCGCAUUCCUUCACUCGCCAUCGCUUGUACUUGGGUGCAAAUAUCAAUCUGAAAAAAAUCGUUGUUCGUUGGUUAAAUUGUUCAUGAAAUGAUGGACCUGAAUAGCAAGAUGUUGAUUAUUACCGCGGAGUCACGAUAGUAAGCUGAUGAUGUGUCCAUCCGUCUCUGCAACUGUUCCAUAUGCGUUGGAUGUGUUGGCAUCGUAGGUGGUUCACUCGUCAGUCUAGUACGCGUGCUCAUGCGAUACCAAUUAUAGUACGCUUCUGUCGUAGUUGCAUCGUACGUUCUGCAUAAAUAAAUUAACAUUACUAAAUUGACAUCACAUUCUGUAUUUUAUAAGCACAUAAUUAAAUUAACAUUAGUAAAAUUACCGUUGGUGAGGCACUAUAUUUUGUAGAGCUUCAUUAUUCCACUGAUUUAUCCAUUCAAUGUUUUCUGCAUUCCAGUCCACACCAGAUCUGCCCAUAUUGCUCAUCCUGUAAUUAUAGAUAACAAAAAAAAAUUCAAGAAUAGUUGAUGGAAUAUCUAUUUAGCUAGGUCACAUCUUACUUACUUAUGAGUUUCUUCGUCGAUACAUCUUGGAACCGGUGGUGGAAUAUCUUGAUAUAGACCGAACUGUCUCAUGACACGGUCAGGAUUAUACGGUUCCACAAACCAUAGAUAGAGUAAAUUGCAGCGAGUCAUCCAAAAGGCACUAUCUCUCACGCAUUCCACUGGCAUGUGUUGCGAACCAAAUACCAUAUCAAUGUGCGCCUCAGUCCACGGGUUCCAUGUUAUUAGUGAGUCGUUAAGAAGCUCAAACUGAUCAUGGUAUAUGGGGUAACAAUUUUUUGCAAUUUUAGUAGACCAUUUUUUUCGACCCAGCAUCCACCGAGUGGACAUAGUUACAACACCCUCAUCAUAGUUGUACGGGGUUGCAGGUUCUACUAUCUGCGGUCGUCCUAUAGGUAAGUAUUCCCAGGACCACAACUGUAGAAACUCGUAGGAGACACAAAGUAAUGGAGCUUUAGAUGUGAAUGCCGUUUUUUGAGUGGCAUCACACAACCCUCGGUAUGUGUGAGAAAGCAAAGCAGAACCAAAGCUAUAUGGUGGAUUUUGGGGUAAAGGUUCGUCUACUAUCUUUGCGGCAAAAUAGAUGAGACCAGGCAAAACUACAUCCCCGUGAGAAUUAGGAAACAUCACACCGAAGAGCCACAACAAAUAUGCAAACAAGUGUCUCUUCGUUGUCUCAGGAUCAGCAUGGGUAGAUAAAAUUUCGAAGUUAAUACGAAGCCAGCUGUGUGGGACACCUCGAGGCGGACCAGAACGAUCUGAUAUGGGCAUUUCGAGCCUCAGACGGGCAGAGACAUCUGCUGGCCAAUUAGGAGAAACUCGUGGAUGUACCACUGGCACACCUCUAAUUGGUAAAGCUGUGAUCAUUGACACAUCUUUUAGAGUAGGUGCAAGCUCUCCACAUCGAAAGUGAAAUGUGUGGGUCUCCGGUCUCCAUCUAUCAACGCGGGAUGUCAAAAGGGAUGGAUCGGCAGUAAAACUACCUCGACGAGCUGCGAUGUUCGCAAAAUGUAGGAGUCCAUAAGCCUCAAGGUGUUCAAGGAACCGAUUCUCUAUUGACCAGGGCGUCUUUACAGUUCGAAGCCGGAAGGUCUGAGGAGGAUUUUCAUGAUUUGGAUUUAUGAAAAGCUGGCAACGGUGGUGGUUGUCGUGAUAACCAUUCAAAAGCUGAGGCAUUUCAGCCAUAACCUGCAAUCACGAUGAAAAAAAUUAAAUAUUUCGAAUAUUACAUCACGAUUAAAUUAAAAUACAUGUUCCGAAUAUUACUCACGAUUAAAUUAAANNNNNNNNNNNNNNNNNNNNNNNNNNNNNNNNNNNNNNNNNNNNNNNNNNNNNNNNNNNNNNNNNNNNNNNNNNNNNNNNNNNNNNNNNNNNNNNNNNNNNNNNNNNNNNNNNNNNNNNNNNNNNNNNNNNNNNNNNNNNNNNNNNNNNNNNNNNNNNNNNNNNNNNNNNNNNNNNNNNNNNNNNNNNNNNNNNUUAAAUUAAAAUACAUAUUCCGAAUAUUACAUAGCAUGAUUACAUAUCACGCAGUGUUGUUGUUACGAUACGGGCAGUCCCUACGCGGGUGACCAGCACACCUACAUACGCGGCAUCGCCUUGGUUCUCCCAACUGGCUGUGGUCCAUGUCAUUGCGAUGACGCCUAGACUGACGCCGUCCCUCGCUGAUUCGCAUCAAUGCGGGAUCUGGAACCCAUGUGGUGCCUUCUGGCCAUAAUUGCUUGUAGUUCGUAUCAAUGCCCCAUGCCCAAAACUCACCGUUCCAAGUGUUGUACAAAUUGUGCAUGUUGAAGUAUGGUGAUACGUACGGCUCGACACUAAUUUGUUGAUCUGCAGCUGCCCGCAAUACGUGACUACAAGGAUAUCCCAGAAGCUUGGGCUUGUUGCAAGUGCACUGACACGAGGUUGCGCCAAGCGUCACAACUUUUUUUCUUCAACUACAACUUAGAAAAGUGAUAAUACGCUCCCUAAGACAAAAGAAAACACAUACUUAGAAACUAAUCAAACAAAAUAAAUACAUCAUGCAUGCAAACACAACCAACAGAUAUGGAAAGCUCUUACGUUGAUCUAUCUUUUCUUCAACUACAACGUCUUCAAAAUCUCACUUUAAUCCGUCCUAAAUCAUCACAUAAACAUUCAUACGGAGUGAGAAAGAGAAGAGAGUGAGAAAGAGAAGAGAGUGAGAAAGAGGAGUGACACGGGAGGCAACGGCAGGAGAAGAGAGUGAGAGAGGAGGCAGCGACGCAGCUCCUUUAUACAGAUAAUUUUGGCACUGUUUUGUCGGUGGAGAGCGGGAAAAAUUUCGUUGGUGCAGACAGCAUGGGAAUCAGCCGACAUGAUGGGAAUCAGCGCUGUCAGGUGGGAAUCAGCGCCAUCAUCCACAAUACCAGCCGCCGGCUGCCGAGGCGGCGGGGCCCGCCUGGCCGCCUCCUCUCGUGGCGGCAUGUCCCACCACUCUCUCACCGUUCCGUCGCGGCUACGCUGGAACGGAAAUCCGCGCCGGCCGCCUCGCGCCAUGGCGGCAGGCCCCAGCCGCCUCGGGCUGUGGCGGCAGGUGACACGCGUCGCCUGGCACGCCUGCCGCCACGGUGGGUGGGGGUCUUUUCUGCCACUUUCGUCCACAGGUGGUCCUUUCCGACAAAUGCACUCGGCAAGGGGUCUUUUUAGACAAAAAUUCCAAUUGCAGUGGCUCACCACCACCUGCAUGUGGCAGCAAAAUGGACGUGGUGGAGCAAGUCGGCAAGCUCUGGGCGACGGCCAUCGGUCCCUGCACGAUCCACCAGUUUGAUUGAGUUUCAACGACGCAGCACACAAGUAAUGAUAACUAUAUAUAGCGAUAAAAUUGUGUGUCUGGGGUCAAACGAGGAAUCCAGAUUCAUGCGGUGGUGAUGGAGAGCCCGUCACCAAAUCGCAUUGAGUGAGCCUUGCGAGCAGCUAUAUGUACCUUCUAUUUUCUGGCUAUAUAUACAUGCACGCGGGUAUAUAUACAUUAAAUGUUGGUAGCUGCAAGCAAGUAAAACCGAUCACUUGUGUUACUCGUCAACAAAGUUCACAUCUUGUACAUAGAGCUUCUUGUGUUGGUUUGUAGCUGUCGGGUCAUGAUCAUUUAUGAGGAUCCGGCAUGUGCUAACCAAAAGAAUCACCACCCUCGGUAUGUAAAAUUUCAAAAAUUCGGAAAAGGUAUUUGCAGGUUCCAAAAUUUGACAAGUAAUAUCUAGGGAUAUAUAUGUGUUCUCUAUACAUCAAUAAUUAUGUAUUUAUUACCAUGUUGAUUUGUAGGCUACUCCACACAAAAAAGAUAAAGUUAUGUGGCUUAAAAAAUAACUCCAUUUUGAUCCAUGUGUACUUGUCUGUUUGGUCUAGAAAAUUCGCAUGCACAUACCGUACAUCUAUAUUUAGAGAAUAACUAUGAAGGUGAUGGUGUAUAAAUAUUUUAGAACUUUCAGGGUCCAAUACUGAUUGAGAGCUAGCACAGAAUAACCAUGAAGGCACCCUAAAAAAAGAAUAACCACGAAGGUGGUAAUGAUGCCUUUGGAUAUUGACGUUGAAGACAAGUACAAUGGGAAAUUGUUAUCUCUCGGGAGCUUUUGUAUCAAUACCCACAAUUGUUCAGGUGCCCGAAAAACUGAUGGACAAUAAUUCCCAACUUGCGUCAAGCUAUGUUUUCCAUUUUUCUAAUUGAUUCAAUUUUCAGUCUUGUUCCCAUUUUAUUUAGUAUGCUGCAACUUGACAAACAGUCAGUGGAGAAAUAGUCAUUUCCAGGACAACUGACGAAGAAACGUCCAAAAGUAUAUCCGAUAUAAGAUUUUUAAUGGAUUGCCUAAUAAUAUGCGCGGGAUUACUUUCGACCAAAAUAAGUAUAUGAUACAUUUAUAUGAAAUGAUAACUCACAAGUCACAAGGGAUACACAUAAUCGAUACUUCCACUCAAAGAACAUAUCACCGAAAUAGUCACUUCAAAAAUAUAAUCCAACUACAUUGUUUAGAAGUUUAUUAAAUCUAUUGAUUGGUAGUGGCAUAGAUGAUUGACUUUCACCCUCCUAAGAAAAUACCACAUGACAAUAUAUUCUACUAUCAAUUUAAUGGUUUUCCAUCCGCAUAGUGGCAGCAACUGCCAGCAUCGGCACAAUAGCAUCUGUGGGUAUUCCAACCAAGGUCGGAACAUAUCUUGGUGCACCCAACAACCGAACAAGCUUUUUCCAUCUUUACACACCCAAGAAUAGGUCCAAAGUCCAUUGUAUCUGUGCAAGAUCAGUCACAACAUCCACAACCAAUUAGUCUAUGGUACACGUUAAAUUACUUGGUUGAUAGAAGAACGGAUCAUGUAUUGUUAAACUGAAUAAAAUAAAAGAGAUAAAUAUAAAAAAAACAUUAAUGUAUAAACAGGGGGGUGGGGAUAUUUACGUGUCCUCCUCGCAGCAACAUGGCAGGACAAGGAAGUGAUGGACAUGAGAAUAAUAGCUAUCCAACACAACACGCUGGUGUUCUUCACAAGCGCCAUCUUGCUAGUGUUCUACUCCUGCUUUCUUGCAGCUUCGUCCUUUUCCUAGUGUUUAUAUAGUGAGAUGAGUGUGUAACAAAUUAAAAGGAAUGUUGUUAAUGCAUACGUAAGUAUACCAUCUGGAUAACUUUCUAAUAAUUGUUUUAAUAUUUGGUAUGUUGGAAGUAAUUGGUUUACUAAAUUAAGACAUGUAUCAUAGCUAAAUUUAGUUAUAUACUCCCUCCAUCCCAAAAUAAGCGACUUAAAAAUGACUCAACUUUGCAAUCAUAGUACGAAGUUAAGUUAUUUUUGAAUCACUUAUUGUAAAACGGAGGGAGUAUUAUUUAUAGCAUGUUAUUGACAGUUCAUAAGCAAAUUAAACAAUAGCUGUGCUAUUUUGGCCCGGUUCAUGUGACUAUGAUUUUCUUCAGGUGUAGGCCUCAUGUGAGUCUGGUGCUGCGUGGGCAACGCAUUUGGCGGGACAGGGCAUGGGCUUGCCUCGAGCAGCCUUCAAUGGGCCGGGCCAGUAAGAAUAUCUUAUGUUUUCCCUUUUUACUUAGCCUUGCAUUUUCUCCUUUUUUUCAUUUUUUUAAUAUUCUUUAUACCUAUACUUCAAAUUUUAAUUAAUCAAUAAUUUUGGAGAUGUUUACUGUGCAUUUAAGAAGCGUUAACACAGUUUUUUUUAAAUAGCCCUGCAUUUCAGAAAAUCUCUAUUGGCCUACUCGUUUACCUGCAAAUUUUGUCCUAACGCGCAGGCAGAUAUUGCUUACACUACUCUUGGCUGGCUAGAACACUGGAGGGGAGUAUCCACAGCUACCUCCAGAGCAAUAUGCUAUGUAGAGAAUUGCAGAAUUUGGUUCCAUCGCGCGCACUUUCAAACCACAUAGCAAGAAACAUUAAACCACAAAUCGAAAGCAAGAACUAAUCCUUUAUCAAGUUUACUUUAUUAUUUCCUUCGUUCCUAAAUAUAAGUCUUUUAAGAUAUUUUACUACAGACUACGUACGCAGCAAAAUGAGUGAAUCAACACUUUAAAAUGUGUCCAUAUACAACUGUAUGUUGCAUAGAAUCAAGACUGUUUGUAUUUUUUAAAUUAUAGAAUCAAGACUGUUUGUAUUUUUUCAAUUAUAAAAUCAUUUUUGUACAUACAAUUUCAUAUGUAUAUUUUCUAGUAAACGGAAAUCUCUUAUAUUUGUUACUUUGAUUUUCGCGAUCAGAUAAACUUUCAUACAAACAGUCUUGUAAGUUUUGGAUGACAUGAAGUUGCAAUCCUAUAAUUUUCCUAUCCAUAUCAUGCAAUCGAAUAUGUCCCUUUGGGAAUUUAUCGGCCACAAGAGAAUGUAAAUAAUGUCCUUGUGGGAAUUUAUGGUUGUUCUCAUAACAAAUAUUAAAAAUCAGCAUCCCAGUAUAAAUUUAAAUACAAAAACGGUGCACUCUAGUUCUAGUUAGACCUAUCUCCGAUAUUUAGUUUUGCUAUCCUUAAGUCGCUUCAUCUUCUAAUAAUAAAGCUCUCUCCAUUUUAGCAGGAGUAUUUAUUAUGUUCUACACAACUGUAGUCGAUUUCUCGACCUGCUGCCACUUCUUUGGCGUCAUCCUCUUGGAGAUCUUCGAUAAAAGAGUGGCCAUGUGUGUUUCGUCUUCCUGGCGUCUCUUCAUUUCUAUUGAUUUCAGAUUCUUGCACCAAGAAACACAGUGCGUUGAGUCAACAUGUUUGGAAGAUGUCAUCUUCUUCCUCCUCUUUGGGGUUGCGAGAUCUACAAACUGCAGUUUCAUAUAUGAGAAUAAUUAAUUAGCAGGGUGCAAGCGAACUACAUCUAUGCCUACAUCUAUGCCGACGACAUGUCAUUAACGUAUUUAUACGUCCAUGAUGAUCAUGUAUAUCAUAUGCUAGAUGAAAGCAAUGAUGAUGUCAUGCGAGAGAUCAAAUCAGCAGGAUCUAUUAUAGUUCCUCAUGCUUCAACUGGCAUGUGGAUUCUCCCUCCGGAUUUCUAGCCGACCAAGUCUACUCUAGUCUAGCAUGACACACCUCUAACUUUAUUCAUAGAAUAGAAGGUAUUGCAGUCAGCCUUAAUAAUCAUUAUUUGGGCAUUUGGGCCAUAUAGAUCAUAGAAAUAGCUAUUAGUACAUAGGAAGUCGUCACAUUUCACCGAGACGUGUGCAUAAGACUUGUUAAAGAUUGUUGUUCCUAAUCUUGUUGGAAUAUGCAAAAUUUAUGUAUAUCUUUACUGUUAGAAGAUAGGAGAAUGGAUACAAUAAAAGAUACAACACAUGUCAUGAACGCACGGAGGUAUGAGCAUGCAGCCUGGAGCAGAGAGAGAGAAGGGCUGCUCAUCCCGAACUGGGUAAAUGAGACAUCUCAACGCACAAAGCCUAAAACUACAUGAGUAUGCAGAAUCAGUAGGACAUCCAGCAUCUUCGAAUCAAACACCAGGGACACUACGAGCGAGCAAGACAGCGUCUUCAAAAAACAGAAUUGUUUCGAUCUGUGAGAUGCAUGGGUGGAAUAUUGUGUUAUGGCAUACAAAAUUGACGAAUUAUCCGUUCUUGGCUUGUGUCGUUUAAUGCUAUACUCCCUCCGUUCCUAAAUAUAAGACCUUUUAGAGAUUUCACUAUAAACUACAUACGGAUGUAUAUAGACAUAUUAUAGAGUAUAGAUUCAUUCAUUUUUCUUCGUAUGUAGUCUCUAAUGAAAUCUCUACAAGGUCUUAUAUUUAGGAACAGAGGGAGUAUAUGCUAGUGGGGUUUGAUAGUCCUUUUAUACGUGUACCGCAUGCAGUAUGCUCUACUAUGUACUUUCUUCGUCUCAAAAUUAUUGUCUUAGAUUUGUCUAGUUAUAAAUGUAUCGAGUCAUAUUUUACUAUGGGGACUGAUCUACGCCGGCGCGCCGGCCCAAACUUUCGGCCGGCCACGCGCGAGCCGCAGGAUCCACCAACCCCGCGUCGUUCGCACCGUUGGAUCCGCAUGCAACAUUUUUCUUCCUAUGCAGCAAAAUUUCGAUGCUAUGCAGCAAUUUUUUCAAAGGUUGCAACAAAAAACAAAAUUUGUAGCAAAAAAAUAUCUACGUGAUCGUAGCAAAAAAACAAAGCUGAUGGUACGUGGUAGCAAAAGUCAAACGUUGGUUGUAACAAAUAUUUACGUGACGUGUAUGCAACUUUUUUAGUGAACGGUUGCAGCAAAACAUGAUGCCGAUUGUAGCAAAAAUUAACGCGGUUGUAGCAAAAGUAAAAAACAUCAAUUGUAACGAAAAAUCCGACGAACAGGAGUUGCAACCAAACGUAUAUGCGGUUUUUUUACUGGAACAAAAAAAAUAAAAAAAACGAUUGCAGCAAAUAUGACGCUGGUUGCAACAUAUUUAGACGAAAAAUGUUGCAUCCAUUGACCAGCGAAGCGCGCGAGUGAAAAAAAUGUUGCAAGGGCCCGCGCGCGCGAGGGACGACCGGCGCGCGGAUGGGAAACGAUUUCCUUUUACUAUUUACAUACAUCCAUUUUUAAAUAAACCUAAGAUCAAAAUUUUGGGACUGAAAGAGUACACGACAUAGAUUCGGAGAGGGAACCAAUCACGGGCCCUGAUUAGUUAUUGGACCGAGAUCAUCUUUACCAGAGAGCCACUAUAAAGCUUGUUACAUACGUGCCUCAGCGCCUGACAAUUAUAAUACUCCCGUCCCGUCCCGUCCCGUGUGGCGUGAUCGGAAAUCAGCCAACGAUUGUCUGCGCGAAUAGGGAUAUAGGAUAGAUCGAUGGGCCGCCGGCGCCGCCAAACCCCUAGCAUCAAACCGAGCACGCCACCGAUGACGAUGCCAGUCCGGUGGUGGUCCGAUCUCCCCGACGACCUCCUCGACGUGGUCUACAGCAAGGUCGCCGGCCCGCUCAACCGCGUCCGCUUUGCCGCUGUAUGCAGGUCGUGGCGAGCCACCGCGACCACGUCGCUUCACGCCGCGCCGCCCGUCCUCCCGUGGCUCAUGUUCAACGACGCCCGACAGGACGGCGACAAGACGAUGGUGUACUGCCCCGAGGAUGGCCAGGUCUUCCGCAUGUCUCUGCCGAGCCGGGCGGUUGGCAAGCGGUUCGUCGGCGCCUAUGACGGCGGCUGGGUCGCCGCGCUUGGGCACGACAUGCAGCUCGCGGUCGUGAACCUUUUCUCCGGUGUCGAGGCGCGGCUAGCCGCCUGGAACAUGCACGGACUCUCCUUGGGCGGCGGCCGGAACGACAUCCAGAAGAUCGUGUUCUCAGAAUCCCCGGCAUCAACCGGCUGCAUCCUCGCCACCAUCACCCCCCGCUACGGCCUCGCCCUAUGUAGGAUUGGUUGUCGGUACAACAAGUGGACGGACGAAGGACCCGUACAUGAGCUCGUGGACAUCGUGUUCUGCAACGGGCAACUAUUUGGCCUCACCGUCUUCGAGCGAUUGCUCAGGUUCCAAAUAGUUGUGGAUCAUGAUGGCAAGCCGAUGGUCACCGGCCAACCCCACCAGAUCCGAACAGAUAGCUGUCCAACCAUGCAUCCCAAGAACAUCGUUGAUCUACACGGCAGGCCAGCAAUGGUGGUGAGGACCUUGUCGUCAUCAUGUGAAGCCUUUUGCGGGCCUUCCUUCAAGGUGUUUGAGCUUGUUGAUGAUGAUGAAUCGACGGCAGAGCAUGCCCACAAGUGGGAGGAGGCGACGAGUCUAGGCGACUAUGCUGUUUUCUUAGGGAAAAGGUGGUCAAAGGUUGCGUACGUGCCGGCUGUUGGGCGCGGCGGGCUGCAAAGAAACUGCAUCUACAGCACCGAUGACCUGCUUUGCUCAUCGACGAGGUUGGAAGAUCGCGGUGGCCGCAAUUUAUAUCCUACGAGCGACCGCGAUGCCAUGUCGAAGAUCAGAUCGUUUGUGGUUGCUCGUGCUCCGGGUGGUAUGUGGGUUCUCCCUCCGGAUUUCUAGACAACCAAGUGUAGUCUAGAGUGGCUACUUUGGCUCAGUACAUAUAUAAGGUAUUGAAGUCAACCUUUACCAUAAAUUGAACCAUAUGGACUAUAGAGAUCAGUUAUAGUAUAUACAAAAUCGUAGUUUAUGUAGAUGCAUACGUGCCUUAUUAAAAUAGGCAUUAUCAAUGUAUAGGAUGGUUGAAAUAUUGUGUUCUCACACGUAUAUACAAAAAUUAUGGAUCAUUCAUUCUUUUCUUAAUUUUCUCGCUUAAUGUUUUUGGCUAUGUAUCUCGACAAUACAUUUUGAUCUUCUAUGCUAAGAUCAGUUUUGGAUUCAUGGUAAUAACUUGUAUCCUGCAAUGACACGUUCCCUACCACAUAUAGAGAUUCAUAUUGAAUCCUUGUGUAAUUCAAACAAGGGCGGAUAGCAUAUAGAAACAUUUAUUGGCUUAGAAAAGCAAAUGUAAUUUUAUUAGGUCAAUCAAUAACACAUUGAGCUGUUGAGGUGGUUUUCAAAGUGAACGCUGGGGAAAAUCGGCAAACCAGAAGCAGAGGUGGAAUAAUGGAGGAUGAAAGAAAGGGCUUAAUGUGAAAUUUUAUGUGUUUGCCGAAAAAGAAUUUCGCCCCCUUUAUAUAUAACGCAAAACCAGAGACACACAUCCGAUUACAACGCGCCACCACCACACACAAUACACACACCCAAGACGUGCACUCCACCUACGAACACCGUCCCUCCUUUAAAUCCAUUUAGUCUAUCCUCGCAAAAGAAAAUCAAAUGAGUCUUUCUUGUAAUGAAAUUUGUUAGUAGUGUAGAAGAAGAUCACAGAACGAAGAAUUAGUACUAAUUAAAAAUUAGAUUCAGGUAAUGUGGUAAUCCUAUUAAUUUUGAUCAAAGUGAAAUACAUGCGUAAUAGAAUAGCACUGUUGUACUCUAGUAGCAAAGUUUUAAAUAGCUUCGCUAUAGCUUUGCUAUAGCCUUUUCAGUAGGGUGCCGUUAAAUGGUACCAUAUAUAAAUAGACGACUAUAACCCGUUAUAGCUGAUUUAGAGGCCCGCCGCUAUUUGCAUAGCCCGCUAUUUAAAACAUUGAUUAGCAGGGAUUGCAUUCGAUACGACAUGAGAACAUCAAAACACAGAACAUCAAAAAAGAGUUAAUCUUAUCUAGUUUUUCCUCCGUCUAUUUUGAAUCUGGGUUUAUGCAUGGCUUACGACUUACCUCGAAAAUAUAUUCGGAUGACCCGAUAAGGCUGCUGCAGCAAGGAAACAGGCGGCGACGGCCGGCCGUACAACGGACUUGUGGUGGCCGUCCCACAUCCCCUUUCUAGAAGCAGGUAGGCGGCGGCGGCGGCGGCGCCUCCCUGUUUCUCGCUGGUGAAGUUAUUUUUGGCUACGAUUAGUGGAACGAUGUUGACCAGGGCCUCAUUGAAAGAGCGUCCGCUUCUGGUGGGUCUGGUUGCAGUUUUCUGAUGAUGGGAUCGGGAAGAAAAAGCCUUCCAUCCAGGGCACGCGCCAGAUUUCAGAUUGUAUCAUGAUUUUUUCUUCGAUCGGAGCCCUGUGCGAUCGCACCGUUCGACGGGCCUGAAUGCAGUUGAUGUAUGGGUUGCAUUCAGUUUCAGUUACUUAUAAUGGCUAUUUUUCGGAAAUAUGGCAUAUUAAAGUAACUAGCUUUUGUUGAUAAAUAAUUAAAGUAACUAGGCUCAUACAUUUGGUAACUUAAAACACGUUGUUGCACAAAGAGAGUACAAUACAAAUUUUCUUCCAACUAAGGGAGACUUCCCUUGGUUCUACUUGAAUGAUUUUCUUCACAACGGCGAUAAGAUAGACGUUGCCCUAUUCAUAGUCGCCAUUUUUUCUGACCCCAUACAUAUGCACAUGUUCAAACUGGAACAUGCAGUGGAAAUUGAGACUUACGGGAUCGAUCCAUUAUGAGAAGACGCUCUGCUACGUCUGUCAUCCAUGGUCUUUGAUCCACAUCAAGGUUAAGACAUUCCACAGCGAUACAUGCCAGACUAUCAAGAAUCUCCAAAUCUUCUGUUACCGCAAUUUCCUUGUCAAAUAAUGGAGUUGCUUUCUUCUCUUUCUUGUAAGCUUCAAGGAAAUUAUUUACUAAGCUACCGCCGUCGGAAUGUGUGGCUUUCUUCCUACUGAUAAGCUCCAAGAUGACAACUCCAAAACUGUAGACAUCACUUUUUUCUGUUAGCAGCCCUGUUUGCAGAUAUACUGGAUCCAUAUAACUCAUGUCCCCAAUGAUAGAUCCCGUGUGUUGUUUGUCUCUUGCAAUCAACCUUGAUAUGCCGAAGUCUGAGAUCUUUGGCGCAUACUUAUCAUCCAAAAGUAUAUUUGCUGGUUUAACGUCGCCAUGUAGAAUCUUAGUAUUGGUUUUUGAAUGCAUAUAAACCAGACCAUCUGCUGAUUCUGCAGCAAUACUCAAACGUGCACCCAAGUGGAGGGGCACCUUGUUGUUGCCAUGAAGAAUAUCAUUGAGGCUGCCAUUACUGAGAAACUCAUAGACUAGAAUCGGGGCAUCAACUUCUAGGCAACAACCUAUGAGCCUAACGAUGUUCCUGUGGAUGACUUGAGAUUGAAUGAUGACUUCAUUUGCAAACUGUUCAUUCUCUAGCACACUUCCACUAAUCGGCUUUUUCACUGCGACUUGUUCAUCAUCAAGAAUGCCCUUGUAAACUUCGCCGAAGCCACCUUUUCCAAUAAAAUUGCUACUCUUCAAAAUUGGCUUGAGCUUCUCCUUUUCAAACAGUUUUAUGAAUUUUGCCUUCUCUAAUGUAUGCCCACCAUUUUUCUCAUAAAAUUCUCUAGUUUUCUUUUUCUCUUUGCGAAGAAGAAUAAGGAAUGAUAUGGCUGCCAUGAGAAAAAAAACACCUAUUCCACCUACAUGGAAACAAAACAAAAAGAUUUCAUAUUACUAAAUUUCCAAUAUAUAACUACUCUGUGUGCAAAAGAAAAUAUAAAAAGGAAACAACUCUUCUGAUUAUUUGUUCCGAUUUCUUUCACAAUAGUGGAUUUUCUACCUCAGGGGUACGUAGCUAUCCCCCAAGACCCACUAUCCACUCAGGGAUAUACGUAGCCAUCCCCACUAUCCAAUGGUACAUAGGGGUUUGUACCGAGUUCCCACGUGAGAAUUGGCCUACACGCUGAUUAAUAUCAUUGAUUUGUCAUUAGUGCCACAUAUGAACAUCAGUCAUGAACCGAACUAGUCGGAGCGAAGAAGAAUCCCGCUACUAGCUAGUGGGAGCCGGGGCCAUAGAAGGGGAGUAGGGGCGAUGGGAGAGGUGAUCCGGGGCGUCGGCUUACCAGUAAUCCUACAUCGACGGACCCUUACGGGGUUUUACAAACUGAGUUUGAGCUGUCAAAUUAUCAUUGGAUUAAGGUGAGAAAGGGGGCCCAUCCACCUGAAAAUCAGGGAAGGGUGGAGAGCAUUAGAGGGAAGGUCCCCGUAAAGUUCAUGUAAGGGUCCGUAUGUUUAGCAUUUUCGGUCGGCUUACACUCGCGCCCAAACCGAUGGCCGCUGGGACGGCGACCUCACCGGCGACGGAGGGGUCCUAUGGGUCCAGGUACUCCUGCCUGAGAGCGUUUAGGUAGUCCCUCCGUAAACUAAUAUAAGAGCAUUUACAACACUAUUCUAAUAAUCUAAACGCUUUUAUAUUGGUUUACAGAGGGAGUUGUUUAUACUGAGAAAUAUGUCUUAGGGGACGCAUGUUGAUUAACGUACAUUAGGUAGUUAACAAAACAAUUGCAUACAAACUAAAAACAGAGGAAGAUAGGGUAGAAUAUUUAGAUCGUGUCCUAUUUAUAUUUAUAUUUAUAACUUGUAUCAUAUUGUUGGUAGUGGUAUGCGAGGAGAAAUGGGCGCUCGCCCAGGCGAUCGUGGAGUCGACCUCGACGGCGACCACGUACUAGUCAAGAAGGCUGCUCCGGGCAACUCUCUCCAACGCAACAAGUUCUGGGCCCUAGCCAGCUCAGACGGAGAUGACUCCGAAGACGCAGAUGGCGGCGCACUGGUGGAGAUCUCAUCACCGACCCCUUCGUAUCUCGUUUGCGAAUCGCUUCGUGCCGGGCGUUUGGAGGCGGAGGUGGCCGGAUCCAUUGCUGAAAUUGUGCCGCCAGGAGAUAGCGCUUGGGAUGGACUCAACCACGACGAUGGUAUGUAGGUCGUUCUACGGAUAGUACAUCGACGAACGGCGUCACAGUGCAAUUCAAUAUGUCAGAGCAAUUACAAAGGGCAAUUUUGGACCACACACCACUACUGGUUGAUUCUAGGGAAGCGAUUCAUGUAGGUAAUAGAAAUAUUUUCUCUGUUGAAUUAAGCUGGUUCGAGAGAGAAGGUUCCAUGGAUAUCAUUGCUACUGAAUGGGCCAGGGAAGCUGGUGGGUCAUCUAAUAUAGAUAGGUGGCGAAACAAAAUUAGGCACUUGCCCCAGUUUUCGAGGGGCUGGGCCAAGAAUCAAAGUGGCAUUUACAAAGUAGAAAAAGAGAGGCUAACUCAGCUCAUUAAUGACUUAGAUGUGAGAGCAGAGUCUACACUUCUUAAUAUGUCAGAGCGGAAUGUUAAGAUUGAGGCUGAGAAGCAGUUACAAACUCUUCUGAGAGAGGAGGAGAUGAAAUGGGCCCUUCGAGCAAAGGUGAUGAGGGUGGUCCAUGGAGAUGAUAACACACAAUUCUUUCAUAUGAUUGCGAAUGGCAAGCUUAGGAAGAAGACAAUAAUUCAACUCGAACAUGAUGAAGAGUACAAUCGUAGGAAUCUCAAGUUGUACAUCUCUGAAUAUUAUAAGAAACUUUUUGGUUCACCUGAAGAGAAUUUUGUCUCUUUGGACGAGAACACAACAGGGGACAUAUCUCAACUCAUAAACGGUGAGAACGAGAUACUGUCAGCGCCGUUUACUGAGAAAGAGGUGUUUGACGCAAUAGCACAAAUGAAAAAUAACAAGGCCCCCGGACCGGAUGGGUUUCCGACCGAAUUCUAUAAAAAAUACCGGCAUAUUAUAAAGGAUGAUCUUUUGCUUACGUUCCAUGAAUUAUUUAAUGGACACCUACAACUUUUUCCCCUAAACUUCCGAACAAUAACAUUGUUGCCAAAGAAGAUGGAAGCCAUUCAAAUUGAGCAGUUCAGACCGAUCUGUUUGCUCAAUGUGAGUUUCAAAAUAUUUACAAAGGUUGGCACCAAUAGGCUGACGCAGAUAGCCCAUUCGGUAGUACAACCGAUGCAGACUGCUUUCAUGCCCGGGAGACACAUCCUAGAAGGGGUCAUGGUCUUGCAUGAAACGCUGCACGAAAUUCACACAAAAAAAAACUUGAUGGGGUUAUCUUUAAAGUGGAUUUUGAUAAGGCGUAUUGUCGUGGUUUUGUCACGGCAGAUGUCCUCAUGAAAGGACUUAAAGAUGGAGCCAUCGCACCUUGGUGGUGACUCAAAGGGGGUGAGCGAAAGCGACUCGGAUUUACCCAGGUUCGGCCUCUCGUGUGGAGGUAAAAGCCUACGUCCUGCUUUGUGUAGAUUGAUGAUGGUUUCGAUUACAAGGAGGGCAUAAUUCGCCUGACCUAGCUCUCGAUAAUUUCUAACCUGCCUCAUCUUCUCAGGGACUCGCCUUUAUAUACAGGUCGAGACCUUAGGGUUUACAAGAGUCCUGGCCAUGCUACAAAUCAUAGCUUUCCUUAUCUCUAAGUCGUCGUGUCUUCCAAGACUGAGAACUCACUUGGCGGUCUAUCUUUUGUAUAGUUCUUGAACCACCAUCCGCCCCCUGGGCCAAGGGUCGUACUUCUAAUGUUGAGUCGCCCUUUUGAUGACCCGGCCCACAUAAGGCGGGUUAUACCGCAGGUAAUAUCCCCAACAUUAGGCCUCAGAUAUUCUUGAAUUUAUUCACGCCAAUAAGCUUUCACCUAUUUGGGGCGACUUAUACUAUCCUUGCUUUUCGACGAAUGAUAAGCCGCCACUCGUUAUGAAUUUGUCUGACCCGACAGAUAAUCUUUGAUGACAUCACCCCAUCCCUUUAAUGUCGUGGUUUUAAUGCCAUAACCAUCCAACGGAUCUUUUGCUCCAUAUUUACUUAUCCUGAAAAUCCAGGCGCCAUCAUUGCAGAUUCUCGACUUGUCGUCUCGAUCCCCGCUCUGGCCGCCUCGAUUCCUGCUCUGGCCGCCUUGAUUCCUGCUCUGGCCCUUUAAAUAGUCGAGGGGGAGUGGGGGCACCGUCACCUACCCCCACUUCGGCCUCCUCGCGACCUCCGUCUUCCUUACGCCAUGUUCCUCCUAUCUUUCUUUGAAGUAUCGGUCGGGGUACGGAAAAGACUAGACUUUUAUAGAUCUCGUUUCUUUUGGCAAUGUGAUGAGGCCAAGAAGAAAUACCGAUUGGCCAGAUGAGACAUUAUUUGUAGACCCAAAGAACAAGGGGGUCUCGGUAUUGAGAACUUAGAAGUGAAAAAUAAAUACUUACUUAGCAAAUGGCUUUACAGGCUUUAUAAUAAAACCGAAGGAAUGUGGGUACAUAUUUUGAGGAAUAAAUACCUACAGACUUAGACAUUGGCCCAGGUUACAGUUAAACCUAAUGACUCACCUUUUUGGAAGGGGAUAAUGAAGGCCAAGGUAACCUUCUUUCAGCGGGUGAAGUUUUUAGUUUGUAACGAUACCACAACCAGUUUCUGGGAGGAUACUUGGCUUGGGGACACUCCUCUAGCUCUACAAUAUCCUUCUUUGUAUAAUAUUGCACAACGUGAGGAAGAUUAUGUUGCCACAAUAUUACAGUCGGUACCUCUGAAUAUCCAAUUCAGGUGAGCUAUAGUGGGAGAACGCUGGAAUUCUUGGCUACACUUGGUCGGACGAUUGAUGGAUGUUCAACUCUUUGACCAGGAAGAUAGUAUUCACUGGAAAUUAGCUAGGAAUGGUAGUUUUUCAGUGAAGUCGAUGUACAUGGAUCUAAUUAAUUCUGACCGCCUUUCGAGAUCGUUACAUAUUUGGAAAAUUAAAGUGCCACUUCGAAUUAAAAUUUUCAUGUGGUUUGUACAAAAAGGAGUUGUACUAACCAAGGAUAAUUUACUAAAAUGGAGUUGGAUAGGCAGGUCUACUUGUUGCUAUUGUGAUCAGAAUGAAACUAUAAGACAUCUCUUUCUUGAUUGCCCACUUGCAAAAUUACUAUGGCGCACUGUUUAUAUAGCAUUUAACAUUAAUCCACCAACGAGCAUUAAUACGUUAUUUGGGACGUGACUCAAUGGAGUAGACGUACAUAUAGCGAAUCAUAUCCGGAUUGGGAUAAGUGUUGUUUUCUGGGCUAUAUGGAACACUAGAAAUGAUAUGAUCUUUAAUGGCAAAAACAUUACUAAUUUUUGCCGGUUAUCUAUAGAGCUUAUGGCUACUGGGUGCAAUCGGUGGAAGACGGUCGUACGGGCUAUCUUCAGCCGAUUUGGAUGGCAAGCUAAUAAUAUACUAGGUGUAUAGGCAUCGUAGUCUUCUUUUAGUGUUGCUGCAAAUGGCAGAUUUUACCUACCUUUACCUUUUGUUUUUAUUGCUCACUUGGUAAGACUUUUGUGGACCUAAGACUUUAUUUUUGUUAUAUUUUAUAAUAAAAUGCUGGAUGCAUCGAUUGAUGCAGAGGCCGAAGACUUUGUUCCUCCUUUUCAAAAAAAAAUAAAAAGAUAGGAGCAUCUAAAAAGUAAAGGGAAAUGCUAUCUAGAAGCGCCGCACCGUGGACAUCCGGUACAGCGGCUUGUGUUCUCUUGCAUGCAUGCAUGCAAUGAUGUCAUCAGAUUCAUUCUAAAUGAUCAAAAUUCAAAAACUUUUAUCUCUUAAACCGUUAAUUCGAUCGAUAAUCCGUUUUCACCGUUGACUUUGUUUCGACGAAAUCUUUAAAACUAGAUCCCAUGUCGACAUGUUUUGACAACUUUUUUUUUUGCUCACAAUUACCACAUUUGUUGCACUUACUUGUCAUAUUAGUAAGUGCUUACUUGUCUAAUAAAAGAUAACUUAAUCGUCAAAUUCUUAAAAAUUGUGUAUAAAUAUGACAUCUUGACAUAAUCAAAAUGAUAAGCACAAACAACUUUUUGAGGCGAUUACACGCAAAAAUAGGGCAACUCAACAUAUUUAAAACCGGUGACCACAAAAAAAUCUUUUUUGGUCAUCGUUUGUAAAUAUGACAACUCGGCAUAGUUAAACUAGCAUCUUGACAACUAAGUUUUUGUAAAAUUGACAACUAUGCAAUUUUAAACUACUACUAGUAGUACUAGUACUAACCAGAUGCAUUUCGCUAGUGAUUAAGGUCUGCCAACACAUGUUUUGUGUGAGACACUUUUUCUACCGAUUUUCUGUGUCACGCUUUGCAUGCAAUGCAUAUUUUUGUGAUGCCAUCUGCAUAUCCUUCUAAGCCACGCUGAUGUGUGCUGCAAUAUGGAUACAUGCGGCACAUGAUUCACAUCGAGAAAAAAAUGGCAAUUAAGUUAUUUUUUUUUGACAAGUAAGUGGCUAAUAAUACGACAAUUAAGUCUAAAAAUGUGGUAAUUAUGGACGGAGAAAAAAAGUUCUCGAAACAUGUCAACAUGGGGUCUAGUUUUGAAGAUCUCGUCGCGACAAAGCCAACGGUGAAAACGGAUUGUCAAUUAAAUUAACGAUUUUAGAGAUAAAACUUUUUAAAUUUUAAGUUAAUAGAGAUAAUCUUGAUGACGUCAUUGCAUGCAUGCAUGGUAGGGAGAUGGAAUUAGCCGCAGAAUGAGAAGACUUGCAUGCGGUGCCGCUCUGUAGUUAAGCCCAAAAGUAAAACCGUGAUAGCCUAAAUUUGUGGCUUACCCAAAAUCCCCCGUGCUGCUACGGGGAAUUUAUCUGUGCAGGUUCCAUUUUUGCCGUCGCCUUCCAUUCCAGGCUUACAUGGACAGUCAUAGCCUCCCAACUUGUUUUUGCAGACCCCGUGAGUGGAGCAAGGGUACAAAUCGGGGAGCUUGCACUCAUCGAUGUCUGAAAAAACGGAAUAUAAAGGUAUGAAAUUGGCGAUGUAAUUAAUAUUGAAAGAGAGCGUGUGGAUAUGGAAAUUAAAUUUGUUACCUUGGCAUCCAUUGGCGAUGUAAGGGUUGCCAUCGUAAUUGUCCCAGCACUUGCAGACAUACCCCUGGCCACUGGUCCUGUUGGCACAGUAGCUGUUGCCGCUGACGCAGGCGUAGUCUAGAGGUGUGUGCUGGCCCUUGGCCGGACAGGAACCGUUGAGGAUGGAGAAAUCGAGCACCAGUGGGACACCCCUUGGGAAUCUGUUGGGUAGCACCUCGUAGCCAUACAUGUCCGGUGUGGAGAAGUUGUACCAUGAGCUCUCUACCACCAUGCCGUAGGAGCACGGAUUGGUCUUAAACAUGGUGUUGGGUGGAUCAGAAUUGAACCACAGUGAAAAUUCGGGGACGGGAAACUCUACCGGGAAGGCGGCCAGGCAGCAGCCCCGCCCCGAGCAUGACCCGUUGGUCGCGAACUUGAGGAAGUGCUUGCCCAUGAGGUCUGAAAGGCAGGAGAGUGAGAACUCAUUUGACGACGUGUCGUCAGGCGACGACGACGCUGACCAGGUGGUGGUCGCGUUAAGCGUUGGUACCGACCACAGGUCGCUACUGAUCAUAGGAUGGACUCUCCAGCCGACGCCGAUGAGAGCAUUGCGCGUCGCCGACACGAGGAACGGACUCAUCUUCUCGCCCAGCCGCAUCUGUAGACCCUUGUAUAAGUAGACGGAACUGUAUGGGUUGCACUUAGAUGAGACCGGGGCGUAUGUGCGCGCCUCACCCUUUGCAACCGAUAUAUCCAUGAGCUCCCAAGCUUGUGUUUUAAUCCAUUUAUCACGAUGGUACCGUCCUCCUGCCUGUGUUAAUUUACGACCCAAUACAUGGAAAAAUAUAAAUUAAUAACCACCACUUACUCCAGCUAGCUAGUAGAAGUACUCCUACUACUUAGGCCCUGUUUGGAUACUCUAACUCGGUUAGAGGUUAGAGUUAGAUUCUAACUCUAGACUAACCCUGAACUAACUCUAACCAAGGAGGUGUUUGGAUGAAAGGGUUAGAUUGUCAAUAAAUGCACUUUUUCCAAUCAUUUGGCUCCUUUAUCUAGGAUUUUGUGUGAUGGAGGAAGAGAGAAAAGUAACUUUUUGUGGGCCCCACCUAACUCUAACCCAAAAAAACACCUCUUGGAUGGGUUAGAUUUUUUGGAUGGGUUAGAUGCAUCUAACCAACUCUAACCCACGCUGUUUGGAUUUUUAAAGGUUAGAUGAGUUCAAUCUAAUCAACUCUAACUCUAACCCUAGGAUCCAAACAGGGCCUUAGUAGAGUACUUACUACUCCCUCCGUAAAGAAAUAUAACAACAUUUAGAUAAUUAAAGUAGUGAUCUAAACGUUUUUAUACUACUGUAUUUCUUUACACAGAGAGAGUACUAUAUUAAUAAUAUCAAGGUAUAUAUAGCUGUGCCUACCUCCAACCUGUCGUGAAUCUCCACUAUCCGCUGGAAUACUCCGCUAUAGGCUAGGUAGGCACGAGGUGGAUUGAAGGAGUCGUUGCAUGUCACCUGGAAGCCCUCACGAAAGCAGCCAGGCUUCAUGCCGAAAGGGUGGGGAAUGCUUAGGUUGCCGCACUUGUCGGGACAAUCCACAAGUGUGAUGGGUUGCUGCUCAUCUUGCUCAGCAGCAGCAGCCUCCAGGAUCAAGUGAGGAGUAGCCGCUGAAAGGAGGAGGACAAGGAGUAGGAUUUUUGGCAGCCGCUGGGAAUGGGAUUGCCAAGGUGUGGUCAUGCUGGUGUGUGUAUGUUCUGCGCUCUCUUGCAAGCUUACUCAGUCGCCUAGCAUCAUUCUUUGCUAGCAUUAGUAGUACUUACCUACCUUCAUCUUCUUUAUCUUUUGACUAUAUAAGACAGACACUUGUUUAUUUCAAGUGGCAGUUGCACACACUACAAAAGAAUUCCCACUUAACUAGAAAAGAAAAAAAAAGGUGACACCUUUCGUAAAAGAAAAGGCUGCAACAUGUACCAUUCCUAGCGAAUCGCCACCUUUUCUAAAAAGACUCAAACUCUCUGCUUUAGAAAUAUACUAUCUUGGUACGAUUUGAUUCUGUCCGCCACCAUCUGAUUGAGGAACACAUGCAUGUGAUCGAUUGAGGAUAAUUGUUGUUUAUUUGCUAGCUUGCUCCACGCAUUUAUGCUAAGUGCUAACUAGUCAAGCAGCAAUGAUUCGGCUGUGACUCGCUCCAAUAAGAUAAGAAAUGUUGCACUGCCUUCGUUUUUUUUUUUCUAAUAGGCAGGCCAUGAUCAAGGGCAGGCCUGCGCAGUGAUGAAGUACUCUCCACUUGUGUCAAGAGGUUCUGGAUUCGAACCAGCCUCUCUGCAUUGCAUUAUAGCAGGGGUAAGACUAGGUUUUUAUAAUCCCUUCUUAGACCCCACCUUGUAUGGGAGUUUCUAUGCACUGGGUCUGUCCUUUUAGGCGGGUCAUGAUCAUAUUCUUGGAAAAGAAGGAUCACUCAAGAGGUUCUGGAUUCGAACCAAUCUCUCUGCUUCAUAACGAUGCAUGCAGCCAAUUAAUUAAACAAAGGUCCAACAAAGGUUCAAGAUUCAGCCAUAAAUUACGAAAAUAACUAACGUUGCGUUUGGAUGUCUGUAUUGAGGCUCUAAAUCAGAUUUCGUAUUCCCGAACUCUCAAUUCGGCUGUUUGGUAUGCGCACGGAAACACCCAUCGGAAAUCGGACGAAUAUUAUCUUGAAAUCGGCCGCACGCGCCAAGUGCUCCCAUGUCUCCGAGGGCUACCCCUCUGAUUUGGCUAGAAACACCCGUCCCAGCAAAAGAAAACGAUUGGAUCCAUCUUUUUCCUCCGCUCAUCUGCUCGACUACGGACAACCGCGCGAGCACGACCUAGAAAAGAGAUGUCGGCGCUCAGUGAAUCCCACAGACAGCGGUGCCCAGGUACCUCUCCGCAUUGGCCUUCCUCCUGCUCCUACACCGGCUAAUGCAACCCCACCACCGUAGCCGCUCCACAUCCUCUGUCGCCCAUCUCCUCCAUGGCCGCCCUGGCCUGGACCUAGCCACCCACCCCGCUCCUCCUCCUCCUCUAUGGCCACCUUGGCCUGGACCUAGCCGCCCNNNNNNNNNNNNNNNNNNNNNNNNNNNNNNNNNNNNNNNNNNNNNNNNNNNNNNNNNNNNNNNNNNNNNNNNNNNNNNNNNNNNNNNNNNNNNNNNNNNNNNNNNNNNNNNNNNNNNNNNNNNNNNNNNNNNNNNNNNNNNNNNNNNNNNNNNNNNNNNNNNNNNNNNNNNNNNNNNNNNNNNNNNNNNNNNNNNNNNNNNNNNNNNNNNNNNNNNNNNNNNNNNNNNNNNNNNNNNNCGCCCCGCUCCUCCUCUCAUGGCCGCCUCAGGAAGAUACCAAAGAGCAGAGGCUGAGUUGCUUCAGAAGGAUUUUUCUUCAGUUUUUGUUUGUCUGUUCUAGAAGACUGGGUACUAUUCAGUUUAGCACAGAUUGUACAAAUUUUGAUUUGAUACAUACAAAAAGCACUAUGCAAAUCCAUAGUUUGACAUCCAAACAUGAUUUGGUAUUGAAAUCUCACUGAAAUUCCAUGGGUCAAUUCAUGAGCAUCCAAUCAAUCGAAUUUGUAUUUAUGUCCAUUACAGUUUCCUUGUCGAAUUGGUAUUGAAAGCAAUUCAAUACAGAGGCAUCCAAUACAAACAUCCAAACACAGCGUAAGUGAAACAAAGAAAAUUACAUGCCACAUCUGGCUAUAUCAUAACAGGCUACGAUGGCUAUACACCUACCUAUUAAAUUGCCGACAUUUAUAUUGGUUGAAUAUAACCCGUGCCGCUAUCUUCCAUCGGUUGCAUCCAGUAACCAAAAGCUCCCUGGACUCCGCAGGCGUGAGUAAUGAAGAUAUCCUGCAAGAAAGUUGUGAAGUAUUUCCUGUUAAAAAUCAUGUCAUUCCUGCAGUUCCAUAUAGCCCAUAACAUUGCACAUAUUCCUAUCCAUAUGUGCUUAGUUGUGUUAAUGUCAACCCCAUUAAGCCACGUCCCAAAUAACGUGUUCAUACUUUGUGGAGGAUUUAUAUUGAAGGCUAUAUGAAUGAUACGUCAUAAUAAUCUAGCCAACGGACAUUCGAGAAAGAGGUGUUUGAUAGUUAAAUUAUGAUCACAAAAGAAACAUCUAAAAUUACACAUCCAUCUUCGUUUAGUCAAAUUAUCUUUCGUCAGUAUCACUCCUUUAUGAACAAACCACAUAAAAACAUAAUCUUAAGUGGUACAUUUAUAUACCAAAUGCGUGCAGACGUAGGUAGUAAUCCAACAUUAAUAAUAUGCAGAUACAUUGAUUUGAUGGAAAAACUACCGCUUGUAGUUAAUUUCCACCAAAUUUUGUCUCGUUGGUCCAAAAGUUGAACGUCCAUCAACCUUCUUACCAAAUGAAGCCACACAUUCCAUCCCUCUCUUACCUGAGAACUUCUAAAUUGAAUAUUGAGAGGGAUUGUCUAAAUUUCAUGUAGGACGACCACACCUUCUAGGAUGUGUCUACCAGGCAUGAUUGUUGUUUGAGUCUGUUGUACAAUCGAAUGAGCUACCUGUGUCAGCCUGCUCACUGCAACUUUAGUGAAAAUUUUGAAACUCACAUUAAGCAAACAAAUCGGCCUGAAUUGCUCAAUGCGUACAGCCCCUUCCUUCUUUGGCAACAACGUGAUUGUACCAAAGUUUAAGUGAAAUAACUGAAGUUGUCCAUUAAAUAAGUCAUGAAACAUGGGCAUAAGAUCAUUCUUGAUAAUAUGCCAACAUCUCUUAUAAAACUCCGUUGGAAACCAAUCUGGUCUUGAAGCUUUGUUAUGCUUCAUUUGCAUUAUUGCUUCAAACAUCUCUUUCUCGGUAAACGGAGUUGAUAACACCUCGUUCUCUUCAUCAUAAAGUUGUGGGAUGUGCUCAUUUGCAGCACUCAGCCGUCGUCCUCGUCGGAGAAGAGCUCAACGUAGAUGCGCUCCUGCAUAGUGGCUUCAUGGUGCCACUCCUCCACCUUGGGGCCGAAGGCGAGGGCCGACGCGACACCAUGCUCGUAGAGCACGGUGUCGAUCUCCCCGUCCCUUCGGCAGCGCUGCUGGUCCACUUCCGCCUCCCACACACUCCGCACCAGCAGUGCGGGCAAAAGGCUAUCUGCCUCCGCCGGUGGGAGAAAGUCUUCCGGUCCGACGAUGCCUCUGGCACGUCGCUUCGGCACCGCCUCGGCCUCUGGCUCCAUCUUCACCGGCAGGAGCUCCUCUAGCUCCCUCUUCACCCUGGGAGGGAGGAGCACGAGCUUGAUGGAGUUCACGGAGAAGAGGCGGCCGCACGCGCGGUCGUACUCCUCUGUCUCGCGACGAAGAGUGUCGGCGGCGGCGUCUUGCCCCAUUGCGUGUUCCGGCAGGCGGCGAGCUUCCGGGCGGCAUCGGAUCUGACGCGAUGAGCCCUCUCGGGGUUGUUGUUUCUACGGCCGCCGGAGUUGGUCAUCAAGGACAGUGGGAUGGAGCGCUAGGCGACGGAACCGAGGCGCGCGACGGCGGAUCUGAGGCCCCGAUGGUGAGGUGGGGGGACUUUCUGCGGCGGUGGAGAGAUAGGGUUUCGACCCGGAUCGAGCGGCCGAACCCGCAGAUAUAGCGGUCGAGCGUUCGCGUUUACGGGCCGGGCCACAAAAAUGGCAAAAACCCGGGGUCUGCUAGGGAGGCUGUAAUAGGAAGUGGGUAGUGCAACGCCAUUAGAAUAGCUGAACUGGGGUGGUGUUUCUUUGUCGAAGGACUAGACUAAAAAGUUCAUUUUAGUCCCUAGGUAAAGAAACAGGAGGGACUUUUUUUUAAGGGACUACAAAAAGACUCUAUUGAAGGGACUUUUUUCUUUAGUCCCUGGGACUAAAAAAAGUCUAGUUCCUGAGAAAGAAACACCACCUGAAUUGUUUGGUUUGCACGUAGGGGGUGGAGGAGGCAUCCAAUGGAGCUGGGCUAGGAUAUCUGUUUUUCUUCCUCUGAUAGCAAAACUAGGUAAAUAGGAGCACAUUGCAUACGGACAUAUAGUAUUACAGUUAAUCUGAGGCAUUGUAUCAAGGGUGGGUGCAGGACAUUGAGCUAUUAAGUAUUUUAGUUAUCAAAAAAAGUGAGUGUAAAUAUGAGAUGAGACAAGUAGAUCUAAUCGAUAAUAAGAAGUUGUCGAUGGAAUGAUGCUACAAGUAUAUAGCUCUGCCCUGUUGCUGGAGAUAUUGUUCCUGUGUGUGAUGCCAUUGACGCCGGGUGUGUGCGCCUGCAAAGCUAGCACGGCAUGGCAGUGUUCAUGGCAAUUGUGUGCGUGCAUCACCAGUAAUGCAGAGGCUGUUCACUACCACGAUGAGAGAUUCCGAGAUUGCCCAAGUUCAGCGGACACGGUUCCUUUAGCGGACGUUCUCUGCCAUCGACAUAUGGGGACCAGCUCCAUUUGUCACUCCUGUACGGCGGAAGACAGCCGAAGACAUGCUCUCGUCGAUUGCAUUUCGGCUAGAUGCGUAUGGUCUUUAUCAUCUGAAGAUAUGGUGGAAACAAUGCAUGCCAACCUGAAUCUUGACGCCAGGAGCUCGAUCUUCACUAUGUAGGAUCUUCUAUCGACGCAAAUGUUCAACCGAAUGGUGGUUACUCUCUAGGCUAUUUAGAGAUCAAGACGGAGAGCAAUUCAUGAAGAAAUAUUUGAUAGUCCGCUAAAGAUCCACCGCUUCAUCGAGACUUUUAUGCGACACAUUGAAUUAUCUACAAAACAUACACUUCACAGCCCUUUGUCGAGGGUUCUCAGAAGCAAUGGAUGGAUUCCACCGCCUCCGGGCUUCGCCAAGCUGAAUGGAGAUGCUGCAUCUGCUGACGGUUGCGGUGCGAUUGAUGUGGUGUGCAGAGAUGAUGAGGGGGCUUUCUUGGAGGCUUCGGCAAUAUCUUUACAGCACAUGUAUGAUACGGCCACCUUGGAAGUACCGACGGCGAGAGAAGCUUUGGCUCUUGCAGAGGACGUCUAUGUGCAGAGAUUUUAGUGGCAUCGGACUGCAAGACCGCGGUGGAUGAAAUCAAGCAUAGAACGAGAGGAAAGAGUGCAGCCAUCAUUGCAGAAAUCAUUGAGCGUUCUACUUUUUUUUCUGCUUGUAAUUUCACUCAUGAACUUAAGCGCUCGAAUGUCGAGGUUCACACACUCGCUAAGCUUGCUUUGUCUCUUAGGUUUUGUCGUCAUAGUUUCGUUAGGCCAGCCCGGAGAAUUAGUUUUCAUUCCUGUAAAGAUUAAUCCAGUUUAAUAAAGCCUGGCGAGUUUUAUCUAUAAAAUAUAUAGUAGUUUGGUUACGUACGUGAUGGUAAUUAAGGUCAUCAAUUAAACCUAGCUAGAGCUCCCGUGAGGCCGUGACCAGAUCGAUCGGAACUCAACCUAAUUAAGGUCAUCCAUUAAUCGAUUGUCGGCGCAAAUAGGAAUAGGUGUAGAAGUUAAUCAUGUUGUUCCGGUAAGAUUAGAAAAGAAAGCCGAACUUAGUCCUAGUAGUAUUAGGAUACCUAGUUCUAGUCUAUUUCCAUAGUCCCUUGUGGACGUGUAUAAAAUGCACCCUAGGGAUGUUGAUUAUACCAUCAGAAAAACGAAAAUCAAUACAAAGCACAGGACCGACAGACCCUGUUUACCAUAACUCGACGUGUUCUCGUGUUAGUGUUCCGGCGAGAUUGAGCAAAGACGUAUAGCUAGCUAGACUAGUUUUACGCAAGAGAAAAUCUAUCAAGCAGCUUGGGUGCUUGCUUGCUAUAUAGCUAGCUUGCAUGUACGUGUAAGGGAUAUUUGAUCUACGGUUCAAAAGUCAACAAUUGGUAUCUAGAGCCUCGACGAUCUAUGAUCUACGAUGACGGACAGCGACGCUGAGUCGGUCAAGUCCGGCAAAGGCGGUCCUAAGGCGAACAAGAAUGGCGACAAGGUGAAGAAGGGCGGCAAGUCAGCAACCAGCGGUGGGGGAACGGGCGGCGCCAACGUCCAGGCGCAUCGCAACAUCCCCAUGCAGUACCCGAUGCUCACCGACGUCAACUACGGUGUGUGGGCGGUGAAGAUGAAGAUCAUUCUCCGAUCCCUUCGAGUGUGGUAGGCAAUCACGGAUGAUGACGUCGAUGACGAGUCCGACGUAGGUGCCAUGACCGCCAUAGCCCAGUCCAUGCCGGAUUCCGUGCUGAUGACAUUGACGGAGUUCGAGACGGCAAGAGAGACGUGGAACACACUCAAGGAGAUGAGGAUCGGAGAAGAUCGUGUCACCAAGGCUCGGGCACAAGUGCUGAAGCGCCAAUUUCACAAGUUGCAGAUGGAGGAAACUGAAUCUGUGAACAACUAUGCCAUGCGUCUUACUACUUUGGUGGGAGAGAUCCGCCCGCUUGGUGCAAAGCUCGAUGAGACCGAGAUUGUGGAGAAAUUUUUCAGUUCGGUGACUGAUAAAUUCACGUACAUCAUCGGCACGCUCGAGCAGCUUUACGACAUCGACGACAUGACCAUAACGGAGGCGACCGGACGCUUGCGGACAUGGGUAGAGAAUGCUCGUGGCUGUCGGAAAGGCAAAGGAGGAGGUAGUGACCAACUCAUGUACUCGUGCAGAUUGGGAGGCCCCAAGUAGCAAAGGAAGGCGUGACGGGGGUGAAGGCUCAAGCAACACAAAAGGCGAUGGACAAACCGGAAAAGGCAAACCACAAGGUCGUGGUAAGGCGGGCCAAUCUAAAGAGCAGAAGCCCCAGAACUUGGACUUGUCCGAGGUCAAGUGCUAUAACUGCAAUAAGAUGGGUCACUUUGCGAAGGAUUGUCCGAAGCCUAACAAGCGGGAGAUCAAGGCAAAUUUGGCAAAGCAGGAAGGCAAAGGUCCAGGUCUUCUGAUGGUCGAAGUUUGUGAUCUCGCUGAAACGGUGGUUGUGAAACCAAGCCGGAAGAUGCUACUUCAUGAGAAGAAAGUGACACCGAAGUUAUCCGGGGAUCAGAACGUGUCGUGGUAUCUCGACACAGGUGCCAGUAACCACAUGACGGGGUGCAAGGAGAAAUUCCUCGAGCUGGAAUACGAUGUUGAAGGCUCGGUCAAGUUCGGUGAUGGUUCAGUUGUGGAGAUUUGCGGGCAAGGAUCUGUCCUCUUCGAGGGUUUCACAGGCGAACAUCGCAUACUCACCGGAGUGUACUACAUCCCACGGCAUCGCAACAACAUCAUCUCUAUUGGGAAGCUUGACGAGAAUGGAUGCAAGAUGAAUAUCAAGAACGGAGUGAUAACGAUCUUCGACAACCAAGUGUACGUAGUCUAGCGUGGUGCUAUAUGGAAGAUCAGAUCGUUUGUGGUUGCUCGUGCUCCGGGUGGCAUGUGGGUUCUCCCUCCGGAUUUCUAGCCAACCGAGUGUACGUAGUCUAGCGUGGCUACUUUGGCUUAGUAUAUAUUGAAGUCAACCUUUACCAUAAAUUGAACCAUACGUGUUAUAGAGAUGAGUUGUAGUAUAUACAAAAUCGUAGUUUAUGUAGAGGCAUACGUGCCUUGUUAAAAUAGGCAUUAUCAAUCGAUAGGAUGGUUGAAAUAUUGUGUUGUGACACAUAUAUACAAAAAUUAUGGAUCAUUCAUUCUUUCCUUACUUUUCUCGCAUAAUGAUUUUGGCUAUGUAUCUCGACAAUACAUUUUGACUUUCUAUGCUAAGAUCAGUUUUGGACUCAUGGUAAUAACUUGUAUCCUGCAAUGACACGUUCCCUACCACAUAUAGAGAUUCAUAUUGGAUCCUUGUAUAACUCAAACAAGCACGUACAGCAUAUACAAACAUCUAUUGGCUUAGAAAAGAAAAUAUAAUUUUAUUAGGUCAAUCAAUCACACAUUGAGCUGUUGAGGUGGUUUUGAAAGAAAACGCUGGGGAAAAUCAGCAAACCAGAAACAGGGGUGGAGUAAGGGAGGACGAAAGAAAGGACUUAAUGUGAAAUUUUACGUGCUUCAAAUGAUGCGUCGAAGAAAAAUGCUGUCUAGAUUAAGCACACACAGAUGCUUACAGCUCACCUCGCACGGGGAUGGAGCUGACUGUCGAUCAGAUCAUGUAAGUGAAAGGCGGUGGCGAGCAAACUAGUGAAGAAAUGCCUUCAGGGGUUGUGCUGCUGCUUCAAGCUUAUGAGGGUUCGGUCAUGCCUGACGCUUGCCGUUCUCGGGCAAUGGAUGUAAGGACUUCUAUUUGCCGUUCUCGGGCAAUGGAUGUAAGGACUUUUAUUUGUAUUGACUGAGGGUUUACAGCGUCAUCUGACAGAAAAUACAGGCACUUGAUCGUUAGCUCAACAAUUUGCCAUGGAAAAAAUAGUUAGACCUUUGUGUUGAUGCAUGCUUAAAUUGCAGUGGUUCAUGAUGAGUGUCUCUGUAAGAACUGCCAUCCAAAGAUGUUGGGUGUUCUGAUGCAUUGCUGCUAUAUUGCUAGUACACGGUAGCACUACAAAGCAUGCAAAAUGUUAUCCAUCAGUGAAGAGAAUUCCGCAGUUAAUAUGCAGCAAGUAUUCAAGCUGUCCAUAUAUAUAGUUUAGUAUUCCAUAUGUUUUGGUACAUGAAUGGCAUUCAUUCAUGUGUCGGAAAUCCUAAAGAUCAAGCUGUUGGAGAUCAGUCUGUCCUCCUAGGUUUGGUGUUCAUACAGUAGAGUUAAAAUAAAGAGACUCCACCAUGUUUUGGCCUUCUAAGCUGUAGGGUAUUGAUAAUGUAAAAACUAAAUAAAUACACUUUGUAUACGAUCAUCACAAUUACAUAUUACAAGGAAAAUGGCAAAUCGAUCUUAAUGCCUGUGAAAUCAUUUAUAUUCAUAACAUCCAAAGCAUAUCUCUGAGACUACUGUACAGACAUCUAACACAAUACCUAUAGGGUAAUCACAAGUGUGUAUUUUCUUUUCACAAGAAAAACAAUAAUCCAUCGUCGUGUACUAGUUUAUGUGAAUUCACUUAUUUCAUUAUUGCAGGGAGAUCAUUUCAUACCUUUUGUACUAAUCGUAUCUUGCUGAGACUGUAACAUGGACGGACAGCGACUACUUGACAAGGCCUAGGCUGAGGAUGCCGAAGGAGGUAUGAGGCCAGUCCUUCUCCUUGGCCUUAGUCAGCAUGGCUCUGCCCCAGGACACCCAGCCCUCCCAUGGCAUCCUCUUGUCCCAGCUGCUCCCCCACUCCAGCAGCAGCUUCAGACCUUCCUCCGCCUGCUCCUGCGCCUCCUCGUACAUCUCCGCGUUCAGGCACAUCUGCGCGAGCACCAGCCGUGGCUCCCCCACAAACGGGUUCUUGGUGACGCUCUGCCGGAGCAGCUCCUCCACUUUGGACCGGUCCGUUGCCUCAUCGUCGCUGCACACCGCCUCCCAGUAGAGGUCUCGCGCAGCCUUCUGGUCAUCAGCAUCCAGCACCUUGGUGCAGCCAUCGAACACUGGAGGGAUCACCAGGGCGAUGUCCUCGUCGCGUGUAGAAGAGUCAUUGCCUUCCUUGCCGGUGGUGUGAGCUCGUUGAGCUAAGUAUAUCUCCUCCUCGCGAACAAUGAGGUUGUAGAGCACACCCAUGCGGGAGAUGGACGUGGUCCAAAGGCCGGGCUUGCCUGUGCCAGGCCACAGUGACGUCCAGGUGUUGCCUCAGAACUCGAGGCGGCCGUUGGUGUUGUCGAAGAGGCGGUCCUGCCAGUCAAAGAGCUGGUCACUGAAGUCUGCCAUUGUCAUCAUAAGGAAUGUCGCCGCUAUCCGCCUAGAGAGAGCCACAUCUUCACCAGUCCUGCAGGGUAAUAAGGAUACACAUCAGGUGCACAGCAAAUGCAGAGCAUCUUUUCUGAAUUCCAAAUUCUCAUUCAGUUCGGAUAAGGUGCAGCUACUAGUUUGCUUAGCAAUUUCCCUUUUGCUUCCCUCAGCUGCCUAGUCUGGCAAGCUCAGAAUUCGUUUUUGUGUGUGCAUUGUGGUGACUAGUAGUGAACCAUGAAUCCAUUGCAGACUGAAAUUUUUUCGACAGCAUAUGUUUUCAGCAGAAAUAACAACACAUACUUGCAGGUUAACAUAUCUUGGCAAGAUCCCACAAAAUAUGAUCUAAAUUACCUUUGCAAGAUUGUAAGACUGUUCCAAGUUUUUCUCUCACGGCAACAUGAGUGAGGUUUUUAACUGUACAUUGUGCCUGAAACAAAGUUGCAUGAUGCAAAAUUUUCCCACAAUCAUUUGACAGAUUUGGCCUAUUUGUAGGUUAGAGGGUAGUUCCUGAAUUCUUGUCAGAUACUGUGUGAACACCUAUUCAGAAUUUUGGUCCUUGAUUUUUAACCCUACUGAUAAGCUUGGUGAACUCUGUAAUCUGUCAGUAUUUCCAAACACUGCACAGCAGUGUUUAAUACUCCUUAUAUUCAUGAAUACUUAAUCCUCAGUUCUUAAGCUAUCAUCUUCAUCUUGAUACAUCUGUCAGUAGUAGUAUAUAAGUAUUUUCCAAGAAACACUAGACAACAGUAUAUCUAAUUCAGUUAUAUGAACAUGAGCACUGAUUUCCUUCAGGCAAGCAACAGAACCGAUGGUGUCGUCCAAAAUCAUAGACACACGCAGACCUGAUGUGCUUGACUGUGAUUCCGUCGGCGGGGAGGAGGCGCUGGAUCUUGCGUCGCCAGGGCUCGUCGUCGUCGAACACCCCGCGGCGCGCGUCCAGGACGGACUCCUCCGACCGGGCGAGGUCGGCGGCGAGGUCGGCGUCGUCGUAGUGGAAGAGCAGGUCAUCGUGGACGAGCUGCUGGCGCGGGACGACGCAGAAGAGGUGGACGAGCCGCUCGGCCUCGUCCCCGACGACGGCGGCGACGCGGGCGCGGCCGACGUCGGGCUCGAAGAUGGCGAGGUUGACGUACGAGUUGGAGUAUGCGGAGUGGUAGAGGCCGCAGCGCGCGACGGCGUCGGGGGAAGCCCAGAGGCGCAGGAUCCGGUAGACCUCGAGCAGGUGGGCGAGGAAGGUGCCGUGCUUGUGCCAGCACUCGCCGGCGCCCG